rnacentral:lncRNA from 1 species
GGCUCCGUCUUGCAGCUACAUCCGGUUAAAUAUGUCAUGUGACUUGAACGCACACAUAGACACACACACACGCACACACACGCACACACACACACACACACACACACACACACACACACACACACUCAGAGUCUGGUUUUUAGCACCUGCAAAAACAUGCUAUUUACAUAUUUGACAAGAAUGCAGAGGCUCCUUUUGCCCCUGAAAAAAAUCAAAUUUCAAACACAACUUGACUGGUCAUUUCUCCAAAAGACAACCAUGAAGCUCCAUCCAAACCUGAAGCAGGCAGUUGGUGCAUGUGUACAGUAACCUGAGGGGAGUGAGGUGAGUGCUUCUGAGGAGAACAUGAGCAGUGAAGAUUCACCUUGGAGCUAGAACAGAGACAUGCACAUGAUUAUACAGGGGCAGGGGCUCAAGUUUUUUCCAGUCGUUUAUACAAUAUGGAAAUUAAUGUGAAAUUAAAACACAAAGUAUUAAUAGAAAGGUAAUGACUGUCCUGUGUAGGUGACAGUGAUAUCCAAUAGGCUAGGCACUCACGAGGCUGGCUGUGGCAAGUGUAAGUGAAAGCAACACGCACUGGCAGGAAGAACAGCAAACGCCGAUGAAGGAAAAGGGUCUUUGCAGUGAUGGGCACAAAUGGGACGGGGAGGCAGCAUGUUGGGGGGGGGGGGGAGACGCGACACGGCUCGGGCCCGCCAGUGCCCCAACGGGGUCCUAGUUAGGGCCCGAGCCAGCUGCAGAGCAGCCGGGCGUAGAGCCCUAUUAUUCCUGAUGAGUUUUUCUUUCUUCUUUCUUUCUUUCUUUCUUUCUUUAGGGCCCGAGCGUAGCUGCUAAGCAGCUGCGAGAGCCCUCUUGUUCCUGCAUGUUUCCUUCUUUCGUUAUUAUUUUUCCUCCGCUUUAAACUGGAAAAUGGCCCACUUCCCACUGGCGAAAACUCAGGAAAUUUGGCAGGACGACCGGGCCUGGUGAAAAAUUCGAUAUUCUGAAGUCGCCCAAACAAGAAAAUGCAAAAUGGCUCCAUAGCGCCCCCUAAGGUGAAAAUUCACAUGACAGCUGUACGCUUUGUCAUAUUGACACAACAAUUGACACACACAUGUAUCUCAAUAAGAUCUACAAAAAAGUCAGUGCGGGCGUAUCUGUCAAAUGUACGGUUAAUGGGUUUUUUUGCAUUUUUUGCAGAUCUGCACACAUUGGAAUUUCGCUAACUCCUCCGAAGGCUUUCGUUCGACCGGCACCACAUUUGCGCAGGCCAAUCUACCCCCCAUGGCCAUUAAAAGUUGUACAAAUCAUGACGCUGCACCCCACGGUUUACGUUCUAGGGGGCGCCAAAGAUAACCCAAAAUCCACAUUCUUAAAAGUCUUAUAACUUUUUAUUUUUGUCCUCACUGCCCUCCAAGUUUUCUAGGAUGAUGCAAUGUCCAGCCAUCAACACAUUUGUGAAGGAAUUUUUACUCCCCAAAAGAGCGCCCCCCCAUGGCAGGAGAAAAAAGUCAAUUUUUUCUUGUCCCCUUACAUGAAAAUACACAUUGUUGAGUGUCACGCCUGAACGCUUUGUCAUAUUGACACAAAAAUUGACAAUCAUGUGUAUCUCAAUUAGAUCUACGAAAAAGUCAAAAAGCGCGUGUCUGUAUAAUGUACGGUUAAAGGGCUAUUUCGCAUUUUUUGCCGAUUCGCACACAUUGGAAUGUGGCUAUCUCCUCCUAAGGCUUUCGUCCCACCGAUACCAAAUUUGCUCAGGGCAAUCUACACCCCAUGCCCAUUCAAAGUUGUAAAAAUCAUGACGCUGCACCCCACGGUUUACGUUCUAGGGGGCGCCAAAGAUGACCCAAAAAUCCACAUUCUUAAAAGUCAUUUUGGCCACUGCAGGAGUACAGAGUACUGCAGUUCUAGGGGGCGCCAAAGAUGACCCAAAAAUCCACAUUCUUAAAAGUCUUUUUGGCCACUGCAGGAGUACAGAGUACUGCAGGAACACACACACACACACACACACACACACACACACACACACACACACACACACACACACACACACACACACUCAGAGUCUGUUUUUUAGCACCUGCAAAAACAUGCUGUUUACAUAUUUGACAAGAAUGCAGAGGCUUCCUUUUGCCCCUGAAAAAAAUCAGAUUUCAAACACAACUUGACUGUUCAUUUCUCCAAAAGACAACCAUGAAGCUCCAUCCAAACCUGAAGCAGAUAGUUGGUGCAUGUGUACAGUAACCUGAGGGGAGUGAGGUGACUAUUUCUGAGGAGAACAUGAGCAGUGAAGAUUCACCUUGGAGCUAGAACAGGGACGUGCACAUGAUUAUACAGGGGCAGGGGCUCAAGUUUUUUCCAGUCAUUUAUACAAUAUGGAAAUUAAUGUGAAAUUAAACCACAAAUAUGUGUGAUGAACUGUUUUUAAAACUUAAACUUCAAAUAAAAAUUGUAAACUUCAAAACAUAUGCAAAUUUUUAACAAAGAACAUAGUAAUUUACCUCUAUUUACAUCAAAAUGCAGGCAAUGGCCCAGGCGUUCUUUGUAAAAUUAUUUACAAAACACUGUAUAGUCUCACAAAUGUCACUUUUUAUGUAUGCCACUACAAAAAAACAUGAUGUAAAUGAUGCAUGAUGUAAAACAUGAUGUAAAAAACUUGUGUAGAUCCUCCUCUAUGUCAGUCCAUGUGUAAUUUUUCCAUAAUUCUUUGUUUUUUGCAGCAUUUUUGUUAGUGUAACUGCAGAUUGUGCUGACAGUCUAUGGCAAAAAAAACAAAAACUGAAAAUGCCUCAGCAUGAACCCCUGGUGGUCUCUGAGGGUGAAACCUGCUAACUGCUGCAGCUCUGUCAGCUUCAGUCUCCCAUGCAGAGCUCGGAGCGCAUGUGUGGCUCUGCACCCUUAGCAGCGUUGCUAACUCCUCAGUAAGGAAAGCCUGCUUCAUGUCAGAGUCUCUAAACUCCAGAAGAAGUCGAUAAAAGUCCCUUUCUUUCUAAAAAAAAGUCGUUAGGGGGUCUGAAAAGUAAUUGAAUCUAACAACAAAGUCGCUAGGUUUGCAACUACGUGUCCCAGACUGCAUCCCUGCUGAGAGUCCCUCCCUCCCUUCUCAUGUUGCAGGAAGAACGUAAGCGCCCGCCCCUUGUCAAUCAGUCACCAUAUAAUUUUGGAUUGGUUGUUGUGGUGAAGUUUUCCACCAAUAGGAGAGAUGUUGUGGUGUGUUUUUUUUUUCUUUUGGCAAGCCUUUUCCGCCUGUAAGACCUGUCACUAAUGUGUGCAUGCUAUGUUUUCCUGUCUCAUACAGCGCGAUCGAGCGCCGAACGUGAUCAAAACAAGCAGAAAGGUUUAGGUUCUAGGGGGCGCCAAAGAUAACCCUAAAAUCCACAUAUUUAAAAGUCUUAUAACUUUUUAUUUUUGCCCUCACUGGCCUCCAAGUUUUCUAGGAUGAUGCGAUGUCCAGCCAUCAACACAUUUGUGAAGGAAUUUUUACUCCCCAAAAGAGCGCCCCCCCAUGGCAGGAGAAAAAAGUCAAUUUUUUCUUGUCCCAUAAGGUGAAAAUACACAUUGUUUAGUGUCACGCCUGUACGCUUUGGCAAAAUGACACAAAAAUUGACACACACAUGUAUCUCAAUAAGAUCUACGAAAAAGUCAAUGCGCGCGUAUCUGUCAAAUGUACGGUUAAAGGGUUAUUGCGCAUUUUUUGCCGAUCCGCACACAUUGGAAUUUCGCUAACUCCUCCGAAGGCUUUCGUUCCACCGGCACCACAUUUGCUCAGGCCAAUCUACACCCCAUGGCCAUUAAAAGUUAUUCAAAUCAUGACGCUGCACCCCACGGUUUAGGUUCUAGGGGGCGCCAAAGAUAACCCUAAAAUCCACAUAUUUAAAAGUCUUAUAACUUUUUAUUUUUGUCCUCUCUGGCCUCCAAGUUUUCUAGGAUGAUGCAAUGUCCAGCCAUCAACACAUUUGUGAAGGAAUUUUUACUCCCCAAAAGAGCGCCCCCCCAUGGCAGGAGAAAAAAGUCCAUUUUUUCUUGUCCCAUAAGGUGAAAAUACACAUUGUUGACUGUCAUACCUGUAUGCUUUGUCAUAUUGACACAAAAUUUGACACACACAUGUAUCUCAAUAAGAUCUACGAAAAAGUCAAUGCGCGCGUAUCUGUAAAAUGUACGGUUAAAGGGCUAUUUUGCAUUUUUUGCCGAUUAGCACACAUUGGAAUGUGGCUAACUCCUCCUAAGGCUUUCGUCCCACUGACACCAAAUUUGCUCAGGCCAAUCUACACCCCAUGGCCAUUCAAAGUUGUAAAAAUCAUGACGCUGCACCCCACGGUUUACGUUCUAGGGGGCGCCAAAGAUGACCCAAAUAUCCACAUUCUUAAAAGAAUCCCCCCCCCCCAUCCCCCAUCCCCCAUGGCAGGAGAAACAGUCAAGUUUUUCCUGCCCAUCACUCAAUGGCUCAAUCGCAUCGCUCUCCCGGCAACACCGUAACGAGGAGCAACUUGCCGUUUGGAUAUAUCCUAGCUGUGUUUGUGCCCUCACUCAUGGUCCAGACUUUUUUCAAAUAGGACAUGUAGUUUGUCUGCAGCGAGUGUUUUGGUAGAAACUGCGCCUCCUAUUCAUUAUAAUGGGAAAUGACCACAGACAAGUGCGCACACCAUCUUUGGACCUUGAGUGUGACGCGAUCGGGAGGGGGAGGUGGUCGCACUGGGGGCGGCGCAACGAGGCUCGGGCCCGCCAGUGCCCCAACGGGGCCCUAGUUUCUUCUUCUUCUUAUUAGGGCCCGAGCCAGCUGCAGAGCAGCCGGGCGUAGGCCCUAUUAUUCCCCAAGUGGUUUUUCUUUGUUUCUUUCUUUCUUUCUUUCUUUAGGGCCCGAGCGUAGCUGCUAAGCAGCUGCGAGAGCCCUCUUGUUCCUGUAGUUUCCUUCUUUUGUUAUUAUUAGGGCCCGAGCGUAGCUGCUAAGCAGCUGCGAGAGCCCUAUUAUUCCCCAAGUGGUUUUUCUUUGUUUCUUUUUUCUUUUUCCUCCCCUUUGAACUGGAAAAUGGCCCACUUCCCACUGGCGAAAACUCAUGAAAUUUGGCAGGACGACCGGGCCUGGUGAAAAAUUUGAUAUUCCGAAGUCGCCCAAACAAUAAAAUGCAAAAUGGCUCCAUAGCGCCCCCUAAGGUGAAAAUUCACAUGACGGCUGUACGCUUUGUCAUAUUGACACAAAAAUUGACACACACAUGUAUCUCAAUAAGAUCUACAAAAAAGUCAGUGCGGGCGUAUCUGUCAAAUGUACGGUUAAUGGGUUAUUUUGCAUUUUUUGCAGAUCUGCACACAUUGGAAUUUCGCUAACUCCUCCGAAGGCUUUCGUUCCACCGGCACCACAUUUGCUCAGGCCAAUCUACACCCCAUGGCCAUUAAAAGUUAUUCAAAUCAUGACGCUGCACCCCACGGUUUAGGUUCUAGGGGGCGCCAAAAAUAACCCUAAAAUCCACAUAUUUAAAAGUCUUAUAACUUUUUAUUUUUGUCCUCACUGGCCUCCAAGUUUUCUAGGAUGAUGCAAUGUCCAGCCAUCAACACAUCUGUGAAGGAAUUUUUACUCCCCAAAAGAGCGCCCCCCCAUGGCAGGAGAAAAAAGUCCAUUUUUUCUUGACCCCUAAGGUGAAAAUACACAUUGUUGAGUGUCACACCUUUACGCUUUGGCAAAAUGACACAAAAAUUGACACACACAUGUAUCUCAAUAAGAUCUACAAAAAAGUCUAUGAGCGCGUAUCUGUCAAAUGUACGGUUAAAGGGUUAUUCCGCAUUUUUUGCCGAUCCGCACACAUUGGAAUGUGGCUAACUCCUCCUAAGGCUUUCGUUCCACCGGCAACACAUUUGCUCAGGCCAAUCUACACCCCAUGGCCAUUAAAAGUUAUUCAAAUCAUGACGCUGCACCCCACGGUUUAGGUUCUAGGGGGCGCCAAAGAUAACCCUAAAAUCCACAUAUUUAAAAGUCUUAUAACUUUUUAUUUUUGUCCUCACUGGCCUCCAAGUUUUCUAGGAUGAUGCAAUGUCCAGCCAUCAACACAUUUGUGAAGGAAUUUUUACUCCCCAAAAGAGCGCCCCCCAUGGCAGGAGAAAAAAGUCCAUUUUUUCUUGUCCCCUAAGGUGAAAAUACAUAUUGUUGAGAUUCACGCCUAUACGCUUUGUCAUAUUGACACAAAAUUUGACAAUCACGUGCCUUGCCUGGUAUCAUUUUUUUCAGCACAACCUCACCUGUGCGAAUAUACAGUUAUUUUAUCAUGUUGACAUACUGAAUUUACACAAUGGACCCAAAUUCACACACAAAACAUAAAAUCCGAGUGGAAAAAAGUAACAUUUUUACUGUGAAAACCACAAAUAUGUGUGAUGAACUGUUUUUAAAACUUAAACUUCAAAUAAAAAUUGUAAACUUCAAAACAUAUGCAAAUUUUUAACAAAGAACAUAGUGAUUUACCUCUAUUUACAUCAAAAUGCAGGCAAUGGCCCAGGCGUUCUUUGUAAAAUUAUUUACAAAACACUGUAUAGUCUCACAAAUGUCACUUUUUAUUUAUGCCACUACAAAAAAACAUGAUGUAAAUGAUGCAUGAUGUAAAACAUGAUGUAAAAAACUUGUGUAGAUCCUCCUCUAUGUCAGUCCAUGUGUAAUUUUUCCAUAAUUCUUUGUUUUUUGCAGCAUUUUUGUUAGUGUAACUGCAGAUUGUGCUGACAGUGUCUAUGGCACAAAAAAAAAAAAAAAUUAAAAUGCCUCAACAUGAACCCCUGGUGGUCUCUGAGGGUGAAACCUGCUAACUGCUGCAGCUCUGUCAGCUUCAGUCUCCCAUGCAGAGCUCUGAGCGCAUGUGUGGCUCUGCACCCUUAGCAGCGUUGCUAACUCCUCAGUAAGGAAAGCCUGCUUCAUGUCAGAGUCUCUAAACUCCAGAAGAAGUCGAUAAAAGUCCCUUUCUUUCUAAAAAAAAAAGUCGUUAGGGGGUCUGAAAAGUCAUUGAAUCUAACAACAAAGUCGCUAGGUUUGCAACUACAUGUCCCAGACUGCAUCCCUGCUGAGAGUCCCUCCCUCGCUUCUCAUGUUGCAGGAAGAACGUAAGCACCCGCCCCUUGUCAAUCAGUCACCAUAUAAUUUUGGAUUGGUUGUUGUGGUGAAGUUUUCCACCAAUAGGAGAGAUGUUGUGGUGUGUUUUUUUUUUCUUUUGGCAAGCCUUUUCCGCCUGUAAGACCUGUCGCUAAUGUCUGCAUGCUAUGUUUUCCUGUCUCAUACAGCGCGAUCGAGUGCCGAACGUGAUCAAAAUAAGCAGAAAAAAAGUAUCACGGACAUAAUUUAUCAUAACUCUGGUUUUAUUUGGCCUAUCAACACAAUUUAAAAACUGGUAUAUAGGUUGAGGUCCUCACUUUUGAGAUAAGUUGAAACGGAGAGUCAACGAGGCUCCGUCUUGCAGCUACAUCCGGUUAAAUAUGUCAUGUGACUUGAACGCACACACAGACACACACACACGCACACACACACACACACACACACACACACACACACACACACACUCAGAGUCUGGUUUUUAGCACCUGCAAAAACAUGCUAUUUACAUAUUUGACAAGAAUGCAGAGGCUCCUUUUGCCCCUGAAAAAAAUCAAAUUUCAAACACAACUUGACUGGUCAUUUCUCCAAAAGACAACCAUGAAGCUCCAUCCAAACCUGAAGCAGGCAGUUGGUGCAUGUGUACAGUAACCUGAGGGGAGUGAGGUGAGUGCUUCUGAGGAGAACAUGAGCAGUGAAGAUUCACCUUGGAGCUAGAACAGAGACAUGCACAUGAUUAUACAGGGGCAGGGGCUCAAGUUUUUUCCAGUCGUUUAUACAAUAUGGAAAUUAAUGUGAAAUUAAAACACAAAGUAUUAAUAGAAAGGUAAUGACUGUCCUGUGUAGGUGACAGUGAUAUCCAAUAGGCUAGGCACUCACGAGGCUGGCUGUGGCAAGUGUAAGUGAAAGCAACACGCACUGGCAGGAAGAACAGCAAACGCCGAUGAAGGAAAAGGGUCUUUGCAGUGAUGGGCGUUACCAGAGAGGGCGAUGGCCAGAGGACACAAAUGGGACGGGGAGGCAGCACGUUGGGGGGACGCGACACGGCUCGGGCCCGCCAGUGCCCCAACGGGGUCCUAGUUAUUUUUCCUCCCCUUUGAACUGGAAAAUGGCCCACUUCCCACUGGCGAAAAACUCAUGAAAUUUGGCAGGACGACCGGGCCUGGUGAAAAAUUUGAUAUUCCGAAGUCGCCCAAACAAGAAAAUGCAAAAUGGCUCCAUAGCGCCCCCUAAGGUGAAAAUUCACACUAUUGACUGUCACGCCUGUACGCUUUGUCAAAAUGACACAAAAAUUGACACACACAUGUAUCUCAAUAAGAUCUACAAAAAAGUCAGUGCGGGCGUAUCUGUCAAAUGUACGGUUAAAGGGUUAUUUCGCAUUUUUUGCCGAUCCGCACACAUUGGAAUUUCGCUAACUCCUCCGAAGGCUUUCGUUCCACCGACACCACAUUUGCUCAGGCCAAUCUACACCCCAUGGCCAUUAAAAGUUAUUCAAAUCAUGACGCUGCACCCCACGGUUUAGGUUCUAGGGGGCGCCAAAGAUAACCCUAAGAUCCACAUAUUUAAAAGUCUUAUAACUUUUUAUUUUUGCCCUCACUGGCCUCCAAGUUUUCUAGGAUGAUGCAAUGUCCAGCCAUCAACACAUUUGUGAAGGAAUUUUUACUCCCCAAAAGAGCGCCCCCCCAUGGCAGGAGAAAAAAGUCCAUUUUUUCUUGUCCCCUAAGGUGAAAAUACACAUUGUUGAGUGUAACACCUGUACGCUUUGGCAAAAUGACACAAAAAUUGACACACACAUGUAUCUCAAUAAGAUCUACGAAAAAGUCAAUGCGCGCGUAUCUGUCAAAUGUACGGUUAAAGGGUUAUUCCGCAUUUUUUGCCGAUCCGCACACAUUGGAAUUUCGCUAACUCCUCCGAAGGCUUUCGUUCCACCGGUACCACAUUUGCUCAGGCCAAUCUACACCCCAUGGCCAUUAAAAGUUAUUCAAAUCAUGACGCUGCACCCCACGGUUUAGGUUCUAGGGGGCGCCAAAGAUAACCGUAAAAUCCACAUAUUUAAAAGUCUUAUAACAUUUUAUUUUUGUCCCCACUGGCCUCCAAGUUUUCUAGGAUGAUGCAAUGUCCAGCCAUCAACACAUUUGUGAAGGAAUUUUUACUCCCCAAAAGAGCGCCCCCCCAUGGCAGGAGAAAAAAGUCCAUUUUUUCUUGUCCACUAAGGUGAAAAUACACAUUGUUGAGUGCUACGCCUGUAUGUUUUGUCGUAUUGACACAAAAUUUUACAUACACGUGUAUUUCAAUAAGAUCUUCGAAAAAGUCAAUGGCCACGUAUCUGUAAAAUGUACGGUUAAAGGGUUAUUUUGCAUUUUUUGCAGAUUCGCACACAUUGGAAUUUCGCUAACUCCUCCGAAGGCUUUUGUUCCACCGGCACCACAUUUGCUCAGGCCAAUCUACACCCCAUGGCCAUUAAAAGUUAUUCAAAUCAUGACGCUGCACCCCACGGUUUAGGUUCUAGGGGGCGCCAAAGAUAACCCUAAAAUCCACAUAUUUAAAAGUCUUAUAACUUUUUAUUUUUGUCCUCACUGGCCUCCAUGUUUUCUAGGAUGAUGCAAUGUCCAGCCAUCAACACAUUUGUGAAGGAGUUUUUUCUCGUUAAAAGAGCGCCCCCCCAUGGCAGGAGAAUAAAGUCAAGUUUUUCCUGUUCAUCAUUCAAUGGCUCAAACACACUGCUCUCUCGGCAAAAGCGAAAGGAGGAGCAACUUGCCAUUUGGAUAUAUCUUAGCUGUGUUUGUGCCCUCACUCAUGGUCCAGACUUUUUUCAAAUAGGACAUGGAGUUUUUCUGCAGCGAGCGCUUUGGUAGAAACUGCGCCUCCCGUUCAUUAUAAUGGUAAAUGACCACAAACAAGUGCGCACACCAUCUUUGGACCUUGAGUGUGACGCGAUCGGGUGGGGGAGGCGGUCGCGCUGGGGGCGGCGUGACACGGCUCGGGCCCGCCAGUGCCCCAACGGGGCCCUAGUUUGUUAUUAUUAUUAUUAUUAUUAUUUUUCCUCCCCUUUGAACUGGAAAAUGGCCCACUUCCCACUGGCGAAAACUCAUGAAAUUUGGCAGGACGACCGGGCCUGGUGAAAAAUUUGAUAUUCCGAAGUCGCCCAAACAAGAAAAAGCAAAAUGGCUCCAUAGCGCCCCCUACGGUGAAAAUUCACACUAUUCACUGUCACGCCUGUACGCUUUGUCAAAAUGACACAAAAAUUGACACACACAUGUAUCUCAAUAAGCUCUACAAAAAAGUCAGUGCGGGCGUAUCUGUCAAAUGUACGGUUAAAGGGUUAUUUCGCAUUUUUUGCCGAUCCGCACACAUUGGAAUUUCGCUAACUCCUCCGAAGGCUUUCGUUCCACCGGCACCACAUUUGCUCAGGCCAAUCUACACCCCAUGGCCAUUAAAAGUUAUUCAAAUCAUGACGCUGCACCCCACGGUUUACGUUCUAGGGGGCGCCAAAGAUAACCCAAAAAUCCACAUUUUUAAAAGUCUUAUAACUUUUUAUUUUUGUCCUCACUGGCCUCCAAGUUUUCUAGGAUGAUGCAAUGUCCAGCCAUCAACACAUUUGUGAAGGAAUUUUUACUCCCCAAAAGAGCGCCCCCCCAUGGCAGGAGAAAAAAGUCCAUUUUUUCUUGUCCCCUAAGGUGAAAAUUCACACUAUUGACUGUCACGCCUGUACGCUUUGUCAAAAUGACACAAAAAUUGACACACACAUGUAUCUCAAUAAGAUCUACAAAAAAGUCCAUGCGCGCGUAUCUGUCUAAUGUACGGUUAAAGGGUUAUUUCGCAUUUUUUGCCGAUCCGCACACAUUGGAAUUUCGCUAACUCCUCCGAAGGCUUUCGUUCCACCGGCACCACAUUUGCUCAGGCCAAUCUACACCCCAUGGCCAUUAAAAGUUAUUCAAAUCAUGACGCUGCACCCCACGGUUUACGUUCUAGGGGGCGCCAAAGAUAACCCAAAAAUCCACAUUUUUAAAAGUCUUAUAACUUUUUAUUUUUGUCCUCACUGGCCUCCAAGUUUUCUAGGAUGAUACAAUGUCCAGCCAUCAACACAUUUGUGAAGGAAUUUUUACUCCCCAAAAGAGCGCCCCCCCAUGGCAGGAGAAAAAAGUCCAUUUUUUCUUGUCCCCUAAGGUGAAAAUACACAUUGUUGACUGUCACGCCUGUACGCUUUGGCAAAAUGACACAAAAAUUGACAAUCAUGUGUAUCUCAAUUAGAUCUACGAAAAAGUCAAAGAGCGCGUAUCUGUAUAAUGUACGGUAAAAGGGCUAUUUUGCAUUUUUUGCCGAUUCGCACACAUUGGAAUUUCGCUAACUCCUCCUAAGGCUUUCGUCCCACUGACACCAAAUUUGCUCAGGCCAAUCUACACUCCAUGGCCAUUCAAAGUUGUAAAAAUCAUGACGCUGCACCCCACGGUUUACGUUUUAGGGGGCGCCAAAGAUGACCCAAAAAUCCACAUUCUUAAAAGAAUCCACAUCCCCCCCCCAUCCCCCAUCCCCCAUGGCAGGAGAAACAGUCAAGUUUUUCCUGCCCAUCACUCAAUGGCUCAAUCGCAUCGCUCUCCCGGCAACACCGUAAGGAGGAGCAAUCUGCCAUUUGGAUAUAUCCUAGCUGUGUUUGUGCCCUCACUCAUGGUCCAGACUUUUUUCAAAUAGGACAUGUAGUUUGUCUGCAGCGAGUGUUUUGGUAGAAACUGCGCCUCCCAUUCAUUUUAAUGGGAAAUGACCACAGACAAGUGCGCACACCAUCUUUGGACCUUGAGUGUGACGCGAUCGGGAGGGGGAGGCGGUCGCGCUGGGGGCGGCGCAACGCGGCUCGGGCCCGACAGUGCCCCACCGGGGCCCUAGUUCUUCUUUUUCCUCCCCUUUGAACUGGAAAAUGGCCCACUUCCCACUGGCGAAAACUCAUGAAAUUUGGCAGGACGACCGGGCCUGGUGAAAAAUUCGAUAUUCUGAAGUCGCCCAAACAAUAAAAUGCAAAAUGGCUCCAUAGCGCCCCCUAAGGUGGAAAUUCACACUAUUGACUGUCACGCCUGUACGCUUUGUCAUAUUGACACAAAAAUUGACACACAUAUGUAUCUCAAUAAGAUCUACAAAAAAGUCAGUGCGGCCGUAUCUGUCAAAUGUACGGUUAAAGGGUUAUUUCGCAUUUUUUGCCGAUCCGCACACAUUGGAAUUUCGCUAACUCCUCCGAAGGCUUUCGUUCCACCGGCACCACAUUUGCUCAGGCCAAUCUACACCCCAUGGCCAUUAAAAGUUAUUCAAAUCAUGAUGCUGCACCCCAUGGUUUAGGUUCUAGGGGGCGCCAAAAAUAACCCAAAAAUCCACAUUCUUAAAAGUUUUAUAACUUUUUAUUUUUGUCCUCACUGGCCUCCAAGUUUUCUAGGAUGAUGCAAUGUCCAGCCAUCAACACAUUUGUGAAGGAAUUUUUACUCCCCAAAAGAGCGCCCCCCCAUGGCAGGAGAAAAAAGUCCAUUUUUUCUUGUCCCCUAAGGUGAAAAUACACAUUGUUGAGUGUCACGCCUAUACGCUUUGUCAAAAUGACACAAAAAUUGACACACACAUGUAACUCAAUAAGAUCUACAAAAAAGUCCAUGCGCGCGUAUCUGUCAAAUGUACAGUUAAAGGGUUAUUCCGCAUUUUUUGCCGAUACGCACACAUUGGAAUUUCGCUAACUCCUCCGAAGGCUUUCGUUCCACCGGCACCACAUUUGCUUAGGCCAAUCUACACCCCAUGGCCAUUAAAAGUUAUUCAAAUCAUGAUGCUGCACCCCAUGGUUUAGGUUCUAGGGGGCGCCAAAAAUAACCCAAAAAUCCACAUUCUUAAAAGUUUUAUAACUUUUUAUUUUUGUCCUCACUGGCCUCCAAGUUUUCUAGGAUGAUGCAAUGUCCAGCCAUCAACACAUUUGUGAAGGAAUUUUUACUCCCCAAAAGAGCGCCCCCCCAUGGUAGGAGAAAAAAGUCAAUUUUUUCUUGUCCCCUUACAUAAAAAUACACAUUGUUGAGUGUCACGCCUGAACGCUUUGUCAUAUUGACACAAAAAUUGACAAUCAUGUGUAUCUCAAUUAGAUCUACGAAAAAGUCAAAGAGCGCGUAUCUGUAUAAUGUACGGUUAAAGGGCUAUUUUGCAUUUUUUGCCGAUUCGCACACAUUGGAAUGUGGCUAUCUCCUCCUAAGGCUUUCGUCCCACCGAUACCAAAUUUGCUCAGGGCAAUCUACACCCCAUGCCCAUUCAAAGUUGUAAAAAUCAUGACGCUGCACCCCACGGUUUACGUUCUAGGGGGCGCCAAAGAUGACCCAAAAAUCCACAUUCUUAAAAGUCAUUUUGGCCACUGCAGGAGUACAGAGUACUGCAGUUCUAGGGGGCGCCAAAGAUGACCCAAAAAUCCACAUUCUUAAAAGUCUUUUUGGCCACUGCAGGAGUACAGAGUACUGCAGGAUACACACACAUAUACACACACGCCAACAUACACACACACACACACACACACACACACACACACACACACAGACACACACACACACUCAGAGUCUGUUUUUUAGCACCUGCAAAAACAUGCUGUUUACAUAUUUGACAAGAAUGCAGAGGCUUCCUUUUGCCCCUGAAAAAAAUCAAAUUUCAAACACAACUUGACUGUUCAUUUCUCCAAAAGACAACCAUGAAGCUCCAUUUCAAACCUGAAGCAGAUAGUUGGUGCAUGUGUACAGUAACCUGAGGGGAGUGAGGUGACUAUUUCUGAGGAGAACAUGAGCAGUGAAGAUUCACCUUGGAGCUAGAACAGGGACGUGCACAUGAUUAUACAGGGGCAGGGGCUCAAGUUUUUUCCAGUCAUUUAUACAAUAUGGAAAUUAAUGUGAAAUUAAACCACAAAUAUGUGUGAUGAACUGUUUUUAAAACUUAAACUUCAAAUAAAAAUUGUAAACUUCAAAACAUAUGCAAAUUUUUAACAAAGAACAUAGUGAUUUACCUCUAUUUACAUCAAAAUGCAGGCAAUGGCCCAGGCGUUCUUUGUAAAAUUAUUUACAAAACACUGUAUAGUCUCACAAAUGUCACUUUUUAUUUAUGCCACUACAAAAAAACAUGAUGUAAAUGAUGCAUGAUGUAAAACAUGAUGUAAAAAACUUGUGUAGAUCCUCCUCUAUGUCAGUCCAUGUGUAAUUUUUCCAUAAUUCUUUGUUUUUUGCAGCAUUUUUGUUAGUGUAACUGCAGAUUGUGCUGACAGUGUCUAUGGCACAAAAAAAAAAAAAAUUUAAAAUGCCUCAACAUGAACCCCUGGUGGUCUCUGAGGGUGAAACCUGCUAACUGCUGCAGCUCUGUCAGCUUCAGUCUCCCAUGCAGAGCUCUGAGCGCAUGUGUGGCUCUGCACCCUUAGCAGCGUUGCUAACUCCUCAGUAAGGAAAGCCUGCUUCAUGUCAGAGUCUCUAAACUCCAGAAGAAGUCGAUAAAAGUCCCUUUCUUUCUAAAAAAAAGUCGUUAGGGGGUCUGAAAAGUCAUUGAAUCUAACAACAAAGUCGCUAGGUUUGCAACUACGUGUCCCAGACUGCAUCCCUGCUGAGAGUCCCUCCCUCCCUUCUCAUGUUGCAGGAAGAACGUAAGCACCCUCCCCUUGUCAAUCAGUCAACAUAUAAUUUUGGAUUGGUUGUUGUGGUGAAGUUUUCCACCAAUAGGAGAGAUGUUGUGGUGUGUUUUUUUUUUCUUUUGGCAAGCCUUUUCCGCCUGUAAGACCUGUCGCUAAUGUCUGCAUGCUAUGUUUUCCUGUCUCAUACAGCGCGAUCGAGCGCCGAACGUGAUCAAAAUAAGCAGAAAAAAAGUAUCGCGGACAUAAUUUAUCAUAACUCUGGUUUUAUUUGGCCUAUCAACACAAUUUAAAAACUGGUAUAUAGGUUGAGGUCCUCACUUUUGAGAUAAGUUGAAACGGAGAGUCAACGAGGCUCCGUCUUGCAGCUACAUCCGGUUAAAUAUGUCAUGUGACUUGAACGCACACACAGACACACACACAGGCACACACACACACACACACACACUCAGAGUCUGGUUUUUAGCACCUGCAAAAACAUGCUAUUUACAUAUUUGACAAGAAUGCAGAGGCUCCUUUUGCCCCUGAAAAAAAUCAAAUUUCAAACACAACUUGACUGGUCAUUUCUCCAAAAGACAACCAUGAAGCUCCAUCCAAACCUGAAGCAGGUAGUUGGUGCAUGUGUACAGUAACCUGAGGGGAGUGAGGUGAGUGCUUCUGAGGAGAACAUGAGCUGUGAAGAUUCACCUUGGAGCUAGAACAGAGACAUGCACAUGAUUAUACAGGGGCAGGGGCUCAAGUUUUUUCCAGUCGUUUAUACAAUAUGGAAAUUAAUGUGAAAUUAAAACACAAAGUAUUAAUAGAAAGGUAAUGACUGUCCUGUGUAAGUGACAGUGAUAUCCAAUAGGCUAGGCACUCACGAGGCUGGCUGUGGCAAGUGUAAGUGAAAGCAACACGCACUGGCAAGAAGAACAGCAAACGCCGAUGAAGGAAAAGGGUCUUUGCAGUGAUGGGCGUUACCAGAGAGGGCGAUGGCCAGAGGACACAAAUGGGACGGGGAGGCAGCACGUUUGGGGGGGGGGGACGCGACACGGCUCGGGCCCGCCAGUGCCCCAACGGGGUCCUAGUUAUUAUUUUUCUGCCCCUUUGAACUGGAAAAUGGCCCACUUCCCACUGGUGAAAAGUCAUGAAAUUUGGCAGGACGACCGGGCCUGGUGAAAAAUUCGAUAUUCUGAAGUCGCCCAAAAAAUCAAAUGCAAAAUGGCUCCAUAGCGCCCCCUAAGGUGAAAAAUUCACAUGAUUGAGUGUCACGCCUGUACGCUUUGUCAAAAUGACACAAAAUUUGACACACACGUGUAUCUCAAUAAGAUCUACAAAAAAGUCAGUCCGGGCGUAUCUGUCAAAUGUACGGUUAAAGGGCUAUUUCGCAUUUUUUGCCGAUCCGCACACAUUGGAAUUUCGCUAACUCCUCCGAAGGCUUUCGUUCCACCGGCACCAAAUUUGCUCAGGCCAAUCUACACCCCAUGGCCAUUAAAAGUUGUACAAAUCAUGAUGCUGCAUCCCACGGUUUACGUUCUAGGGGGCGCCAAAGAUAACCCAGAAAUCCACAUUCUUAAAAGUCGUAUAACUUUUUAUUUUUGUCCUCACUGGCCUCCAAGUUUUCUAGGAUGAUGCAAUGUCUAGCCAUCAACACAUUUGUGAAGGAAUUUUUACUCCCCAAAAGAGCGCCCCCCCAUGGCAGGAGAAAAAAGUCCAGUUUUUCUUCCCCCUAAGGUGAAAAUUCACAUUAUUGAGUGUCACGCCUGUACGCUUUGUCAUAUUGUAACAAACUUUGACAAUCACGUGUUUCUCAAUAAGAUCUACGAAAUAGUCAAUGGGCGCGUAUCUGUAAAAUGUACGGUUAAAGGGCUAUUUCGCAUUUUUGGUCGAUUCGCACACAUUGGAAUGUGGCUAACUCCUCCUAAAUAUUUCGUUCCACUGACACCAAAUUUACUCAGGCCAAUCUACAUUCCAUGGCCAUUCAAAGUUGUAAAAAUCAUGACGCUGCACCCCACGGUUUAUGUUCUAGGGGGCGCCAAAGAUAACCCAAAAAUCCACAUUCUUAAAAGUCUUAUAACUUUUUAUUUUUGUCCUCACUGGCCUCCAAGUUUUCUAGGAUGAUGCAAUGUCUAGCCAUCAACACAUUUGUGAAGGAAUUUUUACUCCCUAAAAGAGCGCCCCCCCAUGGCAGGAGAAAAAGUCAAGUUUUUCCUGCCCAUCGCUCAAUGACUCAAACACAUCGCUCUCUCGGCAAAACCGAAAGGAGGAGCAACUUGCCAUUUGGAUAUAUCCUAGCUGUGUUUGUGCCCUCACUCAUGGUCCAGUCCUUUUCAAAUAGGACACGUAGUUUGUCUGCGGCGAGCGUUUUGGUAGAAACUGCGCCUCCCAUUCAUUAUAAUUGUAAAUGACCACAGACAAGUGCGCACACCAUCUUUGGACCUUGAGUGUGACGCGAUCGGUAGGGAGAGGCGGUCGUGUUGGGGGCGGCGCGACACGGCUCGGGCCCGCCAGUGCCCCAACGGGGCCCUAGUUCUUCUUAUUUUUCCUCCCCUUUGAAGGGGAAAAUGGCCCACUUCCCACUGGCGAAAACUCAUGACAUUUGGCAGGAUGACCGGGCCUGGUGAAAAAUUCGAUAUUCUGAAGUCGCCCAAACAAUAAAAUGCAAAAUGGCUCCAUAGCGCCCCCUAAGGUGAAAAUUCACACUAUUGACUGUCACGCCUGUACGCUUUGUCAUAUUGACACAAAAAUUGACACACACAUGUAUCUCAAUACGAUCUACAAAAAAGUCAGUGUGGGCGUAUCUGUCAAAUGUACGGUUAAAGGGUUAUUUCGCAUUUUUUACCGAUCCGCACACAUUGGAAUUUCGCUAACUCCUCCGAAGGCUUUCGUUCCACCGGCACCAAAUUUGCUCAGGCCAAUCUACACCCCAUGGCCAUUAAAAGUUGUACAAAUCAUGACGCUGCACCCCACGGUUUAGGUUCUAGGGGGCGCCAAAGAUAACCCAAAAAUCCACAUUCUUAAAAGUCUUAUAACUUUUUAUUUUUGUCCUCACUGGCCUCCAAGUUCUCUAGGAUGAUGCAAUGUCCAGCAAUUAACACAUUUGUGAAGGAAUUUUUACUCGCCAAAAGAGCGCCCCCCCAUGGCAGGAGAAAAAAGUCCAUUUUUUUCUUGUCCCCUAAGGCGAAUAUACACAUUGUUGAGUGUCACGCCUGUACGCUUUGUCAUAUUGACACAAAAUUUGGCAAUCACGUGUAUCUCAAUAAGAUCUACGAAAAAGUCAAUGUGCACGUAUCUGUAAAAUGUACGGUUAAAGGGCUAUUUCGCAUUUUUUGCCGAUUCGCACACAUUGGAAUGUGGCUAACUCCUCCUAAGGCUUUCGUCCCACUGACACCAAAUUUGCUCAGGCCAAUCUAAACCCCAUGGCCAUUCAAAGUUGUAAAUAUCAUGACGCUGCACCCCACGGUUUACGUUCUAGGGGGCGCCAAAGAGGACCCAAAUAUCCACAUUUUUAAAAGUCUUAUAACUUUAUUUUUGUCCUCACUGGCCUCCAAGUUUUCUAGGAUGAUGCAAUGUUCAGUCAUCAACACAUUUGUGAAGGAAUUUUUUCUCCCCAAAAGAGCGCCCUCCCAUGGCAGGAGAAAAAGUCAAGUUUUUCCUGCCCAUCGCUCAAUGGCUCAAACGCAUCGCUCUCUCGGCAAAACCGAAAGGAGGAGCACCUUGCCAUUUGGAUAUAUCAUAGCUGUGUUUGUGCCCUCACUCAUGGUCCAGACUUUUUUCAAAAAGGACAUGGAGUUUGUCUGCAGCGAGCGUUUUGGUAGAAACUGCGCCUCCCAUUCAUUAUAAUGGUAAAUGACCACAGACAAGUGCGCACACCAUCUUUGGACCUUGAGUGUGACGCGAUCGGGAGGGGUAGGCGGUCGCGCUGGGGGCGGCGCGACACGGCUCGGGCCCGCCAGUGCCCCAACGGGGCCCUAGUUUUUUCUUUUUCCUCCCCUUUGAACUGGAAAAUGGCCCACUUCCCACUGGCGAAAACUCAGGAAAUUUGGCAGGACGACCGGGCCUGGUGAAAAAUUUGAUAUUCCGAAGUCGCCCAAACAAGAAAAUGCAAAAUGGCUCCAUAGCGCCCCCUAAGGUGAAAAUUCACAUGACGGCUGUACGCUUUGUCAUAUUGACACAAAAAUUGACACACACAUGUAUCUCAAUAAGAUCUACAAAAAAGUCAGUGCGGGCGUAUCUGUCAAAUGUACGGUUAAUGGGUUAUUUUGCAUUUUUUGCAGAUCUGCACACAUUGGAAUUUCGCUAACUCCUCCGAAGGCUUUCGUUCCACCGGCACCACAUUUGCUCAGGCCAAUCUACACCCCAUGGCCAUUAAAAGUUAUUCAAAUCAUGACGCUGCACCCCACGGUUUAGGUUCUAGGGGGCGCCAAAAAUAACCCUAAAAUCCACAUAUUUAAAAGUCUUAUAACUUUUUAUUUUUGUCCUCACUGGCCUCCAAGUUUUCUAGGAUGAUGCAAUGUCCAGCCAUCAACACAUUUGUGAAGGAAUUUUUACUCCCCAAAAGAGCGCCCCCCCAUGGCAGGAGAAAAAAGUCCAUUUUUUCUUGUCCCCUAAGGUGAAAAUACACAUUGUUGAGUGUCACGCCUUUACGCUUUGGCAAAAUGACACAAAAAUUUACACACACAUGUAUCUCUAUAAGAUCUACAAAAAAGUCUAUGAGCGCGUAUCUGUCAAAUGUACGGUUAAAGGGUUAUUCCGCAUUUUUUGCCGAUACGCACACAUUGGAAUGUGGCUAACUCCUCCGAAGGCUUUCGUUCCACCGGCACCACAUUUGCUCAGGCCAAUCUACACCCCAUGGCCAUUAAAAGUUAUUCAAAUCAUGACGCUGCACCCCACGGUUUAGGUUCUAGGGGGCGCCAAAGAUAACCCUAAAAUCCACAUUUUUAAAAGUCUUAUAACUUUUUAUUUUUGCCCUCACUGGCCUCCAAGUUUUCUAGGAUGAUGCAAUGUCCAGCCAUCAACACAUUUGUGAAGGAAUUUUUACUCCCCAAAAGAGCGCCCCCCCAUGGCAGGAGAAAAAAGUCCAUUUUUUUCUUGUCCCCUAAGGUGAAAAUACACAUUGUUGAGUGUCACGCCUGUACGCUUUGUCAAAAUGACACAAAAAUUGACACACACAUGUAUCUCAAUAAGAUCUACAAAAAAGUCAAUGCGCGCGUAUCUGUCUAAUGUACGGUUAAAGGGUUAUUCCGCAUUUUUUGCCGAUUCGCACACAUUGGAAUUUCGCUAACUCCUCCGAAGGCUUUCGUUCCACCGGCACCACAUUUGCUCAGGCCAAAUUACACCCCAUGGCCAUUAAAAGUUAUUCAAAUCAUGACGCUGCACCCCACGGUUUACGUUCUAGGGGGCGCCAAAGAUAACCCAAAAAUCCACAUUUUUAAAAGUCUUAUAACUUUUUAUUUUUGUCCUCACUGGCCUCCAAGUUUUCUAGGAUGAUGCAAUGUCCAGCCAUCAACACAUUUGUGAAGGAAUUUUUACUCCCCAAAAGAGCGCCCCCCAUGGCAGGAGAAAAAAGUCCAUUUUUUCUUGUCCCCUAAGGUGAAAAUACACAUUGUUGACUGUCACGCCUGUACGCUUUGGCAAAAUGACACAAAAAUUGACAAUCAUGUGUAUCUCAAUUAGAUCUACGAAAAAGUCAAAGAGCGCGUAUCUGUAUAAUGUACGGUAAAAGGGCUAUUUUGCAUUUUUUGCCGAUUCGCACACAUUGGAAUUUCGCUAACUCCUCCUAAGGCUUUCGUCCCACUGACACCAAAUUUGCUCAGGCCAAUCUACACUCCAUGGCCAUUCAAAGUUGUAAAAAUCAUGACGCUGCACCCCACGGUUUACGUUUUAGGGGGCGCCAAAGAUGACCCAAAUAUACAUUACAGUAGACAAAGUAGUUUUGCCCACUGAGUGGCGGCAAAGGGACUUGUCUGUGGAGUCUGUGAGUCACUAUUGGCCGUUUUUGACUACUUUAGAUUUUACCUUUAUAUUUCCUCUUACAAAAUUUUUACCUUGCCUUGCCUGGUAUCAUUUUUUUCAGCACAACCUCACCUGUGUCAAUUUACAGUUAUUUUAUCAUUUUGACAUACUAUAUUUACACAUUGGACCCAAAUUCACACACAAAACAUAAAAUCCGAGUGGAAAAAAGUAACGUUUUUACUGUGAAAACCACAAAUAUGUGUGAUGAACUGUUUUUAAAACUUAAACUUCAAAUAAAAAUUGUAAACUUCAAAACAUAUGCAAAUUUUUAACAAAGAACAUAGUAAUUUACCUCUAUUGACAUCAAAAUGCAGGCAAUGGCCCAGGUGUUCUUUGUAAAAUUAUUUACAAAACACUGUAUAGUCUCACAAAUGUCACUUUUUAUUUAUGCCACUACAAAAAAACAUGAUGUAAAUGAUGCAUGAUGUAAAACAUGAUGUAAAAAACUUGUGUAGAUCCUCCUCUAUGUUAGUCCAUGUGUAAUUUUUCCAUAAUUCUUUGUUUUUUGCAGCAUUUUUGUUAGUGUAACUGCAGAUUGUGCUGACAGUGUCUAUGGCAAAAAAAAAAAAAAAAUUAAAAUGCCUCAACAUGAACCCCUGGUGGUCUCUGAAGGUGAAACCUGCUAACUGCUGCAGCUCUGUCAGCUUCAGUCUCCCAUGCAGAGCUCGGAGCGCAUGUGUGGCUCUGCACCCUUAGCAGCGUUGCUAACUCCUCAGUAAGGAAAGCCUGCUUCAUGUCAGAGUCUCUAAACUCCAGAAGAAGUCGAUAAAAGUCACUUUCUUUCUAAAAAAAAGUCGUUAGGGGGUCUGAAAAGUCAUUGAAUCUAACAACAAAGUCGCUAGGUUUGCAACUACGUGUCCCAGACUGCAUCCCUGCUGAGAGUCCCUCCCUCCCUUCUCAUAUUGCAGGAAGAACGUAAGUUCCCGCCCCUUGUCAAUCAGUCACCAUAUAAUUUUGGAUUGGUUGUUGUGGUGAAGUUUUCCACCAAUAGGAGAGAUGUUGUGGUGUGUUUUUUUUUCCUUUGGCAAGCCUUUUCCGCCUGUAAGACCUGUCGCUAAUGUCUGCAUGCUAUGUUUUCCUGUCUCAUACAGCGCGAUCGAGCGCCGAACGUGAUCAAAAUAAGCAGAAAACAAGUAUCGUGGACAUAAUUUAUCAUAACUCUGGUUUUAUUUGGCCUAUCAACACAAUUUAAAAACUGGUAUAUAGGUUGAGGUCCUCACUUUUGAGAUAAAUUGAAACGGAGAGUCAACGAGGCUCCGUCUUGCAGCUACAUCCGGUUAAAUAUGUCAUGUGACUUGAACGCACACACACACACACACACACACACACACACACACACACAAACACACGCACACACACACACUCAGAGUCUGGUUUUUAGCACCUGCAAAAACAUGCUAUUUACAUAUUUGACAAGAAUGCAGAGGCUCCUUUUGCCCCUGAAAAAAAUCAAAUUUCAAACACAACUUGACUGGUCAUUUCUCCAAAAGACAACCAUGAAGCUCCAUCCAAACCUGAAGCAGGCAGUUGGUGCAUGUGUACAGUAACCUGAGGGGAGUGAGGUGACUGCUUCUGAGGAGAACAUGAGCAGUGAAGAUUCACCUUAGAGCUAGAACAGAGACGUGCACAUGAUUAUACAGGGGCAGGGGCUCAAGUUUUUUCCAGUUGUUUAUACAAUAUGGAAAUUAAUGUGAAAUUAAAAAACAAAGUAUUAAUAGAAAGGUAAUGACUGUCCUGUGUAGGUGACAGUGAUAUCCAAUAGGCUAGGCACUCACGAGGCUGGCUGUGGCAAGUGUAAGUGAAAGCAACACGCACUGGCAGGAAGAACAGCAAACGCCGAUGAAGGAAAAGGGUCUUUGCAGUGAUGGGCGUUACCAGAGAGGGCGAUGGCCAGAGGACACAAAUGGGACGGGGAGGCAGCGCGUUGGGGGGGGGACGCGACACAGCUCGGGCCCGCCAGUGCCCCAACGGGGUCCUAGUUAGGGCCCGAGCGUAGCUGCUAAGCAGCUGCGAGAGCCCUCUUGUUCCUGCAUGUUUCCUUCUUUCGUUAUUAUUUUUCCUCCGCUUUAAACUGGAAAAUGGCCCACUUCCCACUGGCGAAAACUCAGGAAAUUUGGCAGGACGACCGGGCCUGGUGAAAAAUUCGAUAUUCUGAAGUCGCCCAAACAAUAAAAUGCAAAAUGGCUCCAUAGCGCCCCCUAAGGUGAAAAUUCACAUGACGGCUGUACGCUUUGUCAUAUUGACACAAAAAUUGACACACAUAUGUAUCUCAAUAAGAUCUACAAAAAAGUCAGUGUGGGCGUAUCUGUCAAAUGUACGGUUAAUGGGUUAUUUUGCAUUUUUUGCAGAUCUGCACACAUUGGAAUUUCGCUAACUCCUCCGAAGGCUUUCGUUCGACCGGCACCACAUUUGCGCAGGCCAAUCUACCCCCCAUGGCCAUUAAAAGUUGUACAAAUCAUGUCGCUGCACCCCACGGUUUAUGUUCUAGGGGGCGCCAAAGAUAACCCAAAAUCCACAUUCUUAAAAGUCUUAUAACUUUUUAUUUUUGUCCUCACUGCCCUCCAAGUUUUCUAGGAUGAUGCAAUGUCCAGCCAAUAACACAUUUGUGAAGGAAUUUUUACUCCCCAAAAGAGCGCCCCCCCAUGGCAGGAGAAAAAAGUCAAUUUUUUCUUGUCCCCUUACAUGAAAACACACAUUGUUGAGUGUCACGCCUGAACGCUUUGUCAUAUUGACACAAAAAUUGACAAUCAUGUGUAUCUCAAUUAGAUCUACGAAAAAGUCAAAAAGCGCGUAUCUGUAUAAUGUACGGUUAAAGGGCUAUUUCGCAUUUUUUGCCGAUUCGCACACAUUGGAAUGUGGCUAUCUCCUCCUAAGGCUUUCGUCCCACCGAUACCAAAUUUGCUCAGGGCAAUCUACAUCCCAUGCCCAUUCAAAGUUGUAAAAAUCAUGACGCUGCACCCCACGGUUUACGUUCUAGGGGGCGCCAAAGAUGACCCAAAAAUCCACAUUCUUAAAAGUCAUUUUGGCCACUGCAGGAGUACAGAGUACUGCAGUUCUAGGGGGCGCCAAAGAUGACCCAAAAAUCCACAUUCUUAAAAGUCUUUUUGGCCACUGCAGGAGUACAGAGUACUGCAGGAUACACACACAUACACACACACACACACACACACACACACACACACACACACACACACACACACACACACACACUCAGAGUCUGUUUUUUAGCACCUGCAAAAACAUGCUAUUUACAUAUUUGACAAGAAUGCAGAGGCUUCCUUUUGCCGCUGAAAAAAAUCAUAUUUCAAACACAACUUGACUGUUCAUUUCUCCAAAAGACAACCAUGAAGCUCCAUCCAAACCUGAAGCAGGCAGUUGGUGCAUGUGUACAGUAACCUGAGGGGAGUGAGGUGAGUGCUUCUGAGGAGAACAUGAGCAGUGAAGAUUCACCUUGGAGCUAGAACAGAGACAUGCACAUGAUUAUACAGGGGCAGGGGCUCAAGUUUUUUCCAGUUGUUUAUACAAUAUGGAAAUUAAUGUGAAAUUAAAACACAAAGUAUUAAUAGAAAGGUAAUGACUGUCCUGUGUAGGUGACAGUGAUAUCCAAUAGGCUAGGCACUCACGAGGCUGGCUGUGGCAAGUGUAAGUGAAAGCAACACGCACUGGCAGGAAGAACAGCAAACGCCGAUGAAGGAAAAGGGUCUUUGCAGUGAUGGGCGUUACCAGAGAGGGCGAUGGCCAGAGGACACAAAUGGGACGGGGAGGCAGCACGUUGGGGGGGGGGACGCGACACGGCUCGGGCCCGCCAGUGCCCCAACGGGGUCCUAGUUAUUAUUAGGGCCCGAGCGUAGCUGCUAAGCAGCUGCGAGAGCCCUAUUAUUCCCCAAGUGGUUUUUCUUUGUUAGGGCCCGAGCGUAGCUGCUAAGCAGCUGCGAGAGCCCUAUUAUUCCUGAUGGAUUCUUCUUUCUUCUUCUUCUUAUUAGGGCCCGAGCCAGCUGCAGAGCAGCCGGGCGUAGGCCCUAUUAUUCCCCAAGUGGUUUUUCUUUGUUUCUUUCUUUCUUUCUUUCUUUCUUCUUUUUCCUCCCCUUUGAACUGGAAAAUGGCCCACUUCCCACUGGCGAAAACUCAUGAAAUUUGGCAGGACGACCGGGCCUGGUGAAAAAUUUGAUAUUCUGAAGUCGCCCAAACAUUAAAAUGCAAAAUGGCUCCAUAGCGCCCCCUAAGGUGGAAAUUCACACUAUUGACUGUCACGCCUGUACGCUUUGUCAUAUUGACACAAAAAUUGACACACAUAUGUAUCUCAAUAAGAUCUACAAAAAAGUCAGUGCGGCCGUAUCUGUCAAAAUUACGGUUAAAGGGUUAUUUCGCAUUUUUUGCCGAUCCGCACACAUUGGAAUUUCGCUAACUCCUCCGAAGGCUUUCGUUCCACCAGCACCACAUUUGCUCAGGCCAAUCUACACCCCGUGGCCAUUAAAAGUUAUCAAAAUCAUGACGCUGCACCCCAAGGUUUAGGUUCUAGGGGGCGCCAAAGAUAACACUAAAAUCCACAUAUUUAAAAGUCUUAUAACUUUUUAUUUUUGUCCUCACUGGCCUCCAAGUUUUCUAGGAUGAUGCAAUGUCCAGCCAUCAACACAUUUGUGAAGGAAUUUUUACUCCCCAAAAGAGCGCCCCCCCAUGGCAGGAGAAAAAAGUCCAUUUUUUCUUGUCCCCUAAGGUGAAAAUACACAUUGUUGAGUGUCACGCCUAUACGCUUUGUCAAAAUGACACAAAAAUUGACACACACAUGUAACUCAAUAAGAUCUACAAAAAAGUCCAUGCGCGCGUAUCUGUCAAAUGUACAGUUAAAGGGUUAUUCCGCAUUUUUUGCCGAUACGCACACAUUGGAAUUUCGCUAACUCCUCCGAAGGCUUUCGUUCCACCGGCACCACAUUUGCUCAGGCCAAUCUACACCCCAUGGCCAUUAAAAGUUAUUCAAAUCAUGAUGCUGCACCCCACGGUUUAGGUUCUAGGGGGCGCCAAAGAUAACCCAAAAAUCCACAUUCUUAAAUGUUUUAUAACUUUUUAUUUUUGUCCUCACUGGCCUCCAAGUUUUCUAGGAUGAUGCAAUGUCCAGCCAUCAACACAUUUGUGAAGGAAUUUUUACUCCCCAAAAGAGCGCCCCCCCAUGGUAGGAGAAAAAAGUCAAUUUUUUCUUGUCCCCUUACAUAAAAAUACACAUUGUUGAGUGUCACGCCUGAACGCUUUGUCAUAUUGACACAAAAAUUGACAAUCAUGUGUAUCUCAAUUAGAUCUACGAAAAAGUCAAAGAGCGCGUAUCUGUAUAAUGUACGGUUAAAGGGCUAUUUUGCAUUUUUUGCCGAUUCGCACACAUUGGAAUGUGGCUAUCUCCUCCUAAGGCUUUCGUCCCACCGAUACCAAAUUUGCUCAGGGCAAUCUACACCCCAUGCCCAUUCAAAGUUGUAAAAAUCAUGACGCUGCACCCCACGGUUUACGUUCUAGGGGGCGCCAAAGAUGACCCAAAAAUCCACAUUCUUAAAAGUCAUUUUGGCCACUGCAGGAGUACAGAGUACUGCAGUUCUAGGGGGCGCCAAAGAUGACCCAAAAAUCCACAUUCUUAAAAGUCUUUUUGGCCACUGCAGGAGUACAGAGUACUGCAGGAUACACACACAUAUACACACACGCCAACAUACACACAUACACACACACACACACACACACACACACAGACACACACACACACUCAGAGUCUGUUUUUUAGCACCUGCAAAAACAUGCUGUUUACAUAUUUGACAAGAAUGCAGAGGCUUCCUUUUGCCCCUGAAAAAAAUCAAAUUUCAAACACAACUUGACUGUUCAUUUCUCCAAAAGACAACCAUGAAGCUCCAUUUCAAACCUGAAGCAGAUAGUUGGUGCAUGUGUACAGUAACCUGAGGGGAGUGAGGUGACUAUUUCUGAGGAGAACAUGAGCAGUGAAGAUUCACCUUGGAGCUAGAACAGGGACGUGCACAUGAUUAUACAGGGGCAGGGGCUCAAGAUUUUUCCAGUCAUUUAUACAAUAUGGAAAUUAAUGUGAAAUUAAACCACAAAUAUGUGUGAUGAACUGUUUUUAAAACUUAAACUUCAAAUAAAAAUUGUAAACUUCAAAACAUAUGCAAAUUUUUAACAAAGAACAUAGUAAUUUACCUCUAUUUACAUCAAAAUGCAGGCAAUGGCCCAGGCGUUCUUUGUAAAAUUAUUUACAAAACACUGUAUAGUCUCACAAAUGUCACUUUUUAUUUAUGCCACUACAAAAAAACAUGAUGUAAAUGAUGCAUGAUGUAAAACAUGAUGUAAAAAACUUGUGUAGAUCCUCCUCUAUGUCAGUCCAUGUGUAAUUUUUCCAUAAUUAUUUGUUUUUUGCAGCAUUUUUGUUAGUGUAACUGCAGAUUGUGCUGACAGUGUCUAUGGCACAAAAAAAAAAAAAAUUAAAAUGCCUCAACAUGAACCCCUGGUGGUCUCUGAGGGUGAAACCUGCUAACUGCUGCAGCUCUGUCAGCUUCAGUCUCCCAUGCAGAGCUCUGAGCGCAUGUGUGGCUCUGCACCCUUAGCAGCGUUGCUAACUCCUCAGUAAGGAAAGCCUGCUUCAUGUCAGAGUCUCUAAACUCCAGAAGAAGUCGAUAAAAGUCCCUUUCUUUCUAAAAAAGUCGUUAGGGUGUCUGAAAAGUCAUUGAAUCUAACAACAAAGUCGCUAGGUUUGCAACUACGUGUCCCAGACUGCAUCCCUGCUGAGAGUCCCUCCCUCCCUUCUCAUGUUGCAGGAAGAACGUAAGCGCCCGCCCCUUGUCAAUCAGUCACCAUAUAAUUUUGGAUUGGUUGUUGUGGUGAAGUUUUCCACCAAUAGGAGAGAUGUUGUGGUGUGUUUUUUUUUUCUUUUGGCAAGCCUUUUCCGCCUGUAAGACCUGUCGCUAAUGUCUGCAUGCUAUGUUUUCCUGUCUCAUACAGCGCGAUCGAGCGCCGAACGUGAUCAAAAUAAGCAGAAAAAAAGUAUCGCGGACAUAAUUUAUCAUAACUCUGGUUUUAUUUGGCCUAUCAACACAAUUUAAAAACUGGUAUAUAGGUUGAGGUCCUCACUUUUGAGAUAAGUUGAAACGGAGAGUCAACGAGGCUCCGUCUUGCAGCUACAUCCGGUUAAAUAUGUCAUGUGACUUGAACGCACACAUAGACACACACACACGCACACACACACACACACACACACACACACACACACACACACACACACACACACACACACUCAGAGUCUGGUUUUUAGCACCUGCAAAAACAUGCUAUUUACAUAUUUGACAAGAAUGCAGAGGCUCCUUUUGCCCCUGAAAAAAAUCAAAUUUCAAACACAACUUGACUGGUCAUUUCUCCAAAAGACAACCAUGAAGCUCCAUCCAAACCUGAAGCAGGCAGUUGGUGCAUGUGUACAGUAACCUGAGGGGAGUGAGGUGAGUGCUUCUGAGGAGAACAUGAGCAGUGAAGAUUCACCUUGGAGCUAGAACAGAGACAUGCACAUGAUUAUACAGGGGCAGGGGCUCAAGUUUUUUCCAGUCGUUUAUACAAUAUGGAAAUUAAUGUGAAAUUAAAACACAAAGUAUUAAUAGAAAGGUAAUGACUGUCCUGUGUAGGUGACAGUGAUAUCCAAUAGGCUAGGCACUCACGAGGCUGGCUGUGGCAAGUGUAAGUGAAAGCAACACGCACUGGCAGGAAGAACAGCAAACGCCGAUGAAGGAAAAGGGUCUUUGCAGUGAUGGGCGUUAACAGAGAGGGCGAUGGCCAGAGGACACAAAUGGGACGGGGAGGCAGCACGUUGGGGGGUGGGGGGGUGGGGGGGGGGAGACGCGACACGGCUCGGGCCCGCCAGUGCCCCAACGGGGUCCUAGUUAUUUUUCUGCCCCUUUGAACUGGAAAAUGGCCCACUUCCCACUGGUGAAAACUCAUGAAAUUUGGCAGGACGACCGGGCCUGGUGAAAAAUUCGAUAUUCUGAAGUCAUCCAAACAAUCAAAUGCAAAAUGGCUCCAUAGCGCCCCCUAAGGUGAAAAAUUCACAUGAUUGAGUGUCACGCCUGUACGCUUUGUCAAAAUGACACAAAAUUUGACACACACGUGUAUCUCAAUAAGAUCUACAAAAAAGUCAGUGCGGGCGUAUCUGUCAAAUGUACGGUUAAAGGGCUAUUUCGCAUUUUUUGCCGAUCCACACACAUUGGAAUUUCGCUAACUCCUCCGAAGGCUUUCGUUCCAAAGGCACCACAUUUGCUCAGGCCAAUCUACACCCCAUGGCCAUUAAAAGUUGUACAAAUCAUGACGCUGCACCCCACGGUUUACGUUCUAGGGGGCGCCAAAGAUAACCCAAAAAUCCACAGUCUUAAAAGUCUUAUAACUUUUUAUUUUUGUCCUCACUGGCCUCCAAGUUCUCUAGGAUGAUGCAAUGUCCAGCCAUCAACACAUUUGUGAAGGAAUUUUUACUCGCCAAAGAGCGCCCCCCCAUGGCAGGAGAAAAAAGUCCAUUUUUUCUUGUCUCCUAAGGCGAAAAUUCACACUAUUGAGUGUCACGCCUAUACGCUUUGUCAUAUUGACACAAAAAUUGACACACACAUGUAUCUCAAUAAGAUCUACAAAAAAGUCAGUGCGGGCGUAUCUGUCAAAUGUACGGUUAAAGGGCUAUUUCGCAUUUUUUGCCGAUCCGCACACAUUGGAAUUUCGCUAACUCCUCCGAAGGCUUUCGUUCCAAAGGCACCACAUUUGCUCAGGCCAAUCUACACCCCAUGGCCAUUAAAAGUUGUACAAAUCAUGACGCUGCACCCCACGGUUUACGUUCUAGGGGGCGCCAAAGAUAACCCAAAAAUCCACAGUCUUAAAAGUCUUAUAACUUUUUAUUUUUGUCCUCACUGGCCUCCAAGUUCUCUAGGAUGAUGCAAUGUCCAGCCAUCAACACAUUUGUGAAGGAAUUUUUACUCGCCAAAAGAGCGCCCCCCCAUGGCAGGAGAAAAAAGUCCAUUUUUUCUUGUCUCCUAAGGCGAAAAUACACAUUGUUGACUGUCACGCCUUUACGCUUUGUCAAAAUGACACAAAAUUUGACAAACACAUGUAUCUCAAUAAGAUCUACGAAAAAGUCAAUGUGAGCGUAUCUGUUCAAUGUACGGUUAAAGGGCUAUUUCGCAUUUUUGGCCGAUUCGCACACAUUGGAAUGUGGCUAACUCCUCCUAAAUCUUUUGUCCCAUCGGCUUCAAAUUUGCUCAGGUCAAUCUACACCCCAUGGCCAUUCAAAGUUGUACAAAUCAUGACACUGCACCCCACAGUUUACGUUCUAGGGGGCGCCAAAGAGGACCCAAAUAUCCACAUUUUUAAAAGUCUUAUAACUUUUUAUUUUUGUCCUCACUGGCCUCCAAGUUUUCUAGGAUGAUGCAAUGUCCAGCCAUCAACACAUUUGUGAAGGAAUUUUUUCUCCCCAAAAGAGCGCCCCCCCAUGGCAGGAGAAAAAGUCAAGUUUUCCUGCCCAUCGCUCAAUGGCUCAAACGCAUCGCUCUCUCGGCAAAACCGAAAGGAGGAGCAACUUGCCAUUUGGAUAUAUACUAGCUGUGUUUGUGCCCUCACUUAUGGUCCAGACUUUUUUCAAAAAGGACAUGGAGUUUGUCUGCAGCGAGCGUUUUGGUAGAAACUGCGCCUCCCAUUCAUUAUAAUGGUAAAUGACCACAGACAAGUGCGCACACCAUCUUUGGACCUUGAGUGUGACGCGAUCGGGAGGGGUAGGCGGUCGCGCUGGGGGCGGCACGACACGGCUCGGGCCCGCCAGUGCCCCAACGGGGCCCUAGUUAGGGCCCGAGCGUAGCUGCUAAGCAGCUGCGAGAGCCCUCUUGUUCCUGAUGGAUUCUUCUUUCGUUAUUUUUCCUCCGCUUUAAACUGGAAAAUGGCCCACUUCCCACUGGCGAAAACUCAGGAAAUUUGGCAGGACGACCGGGCCUGGUGAAAAAUUUGAUAUUCUGAAGUCGUCCAAACAAAAAAAUGAAAAAUGGCUCCAUAGCGCCCCCUAUGGUGAAAACUCACCUGAUGCCUGUACGCUUUGUCAAAAUGACACAAAAUUUGACACACAUGUGUAUUUCAAUAAGAUCUACGAAAAAGUCAGUGCGGGCGUAUCUGCCAAAUGUACGGUUAAAGGGCUAUUUCGCUUUUUUUGCCGAUCCGCACACAUUGGAAUUUCGCUAACUCCUCCGAAGGCUUUCGUUCCACCGGCACCACAUUUGCUCAGGCCAAUCUACACCCCAUGGCCAUUAAAAGUUGUACAAAUCAUGAUGCUGCACCCCACGGUUUACUUUCUAGGGGGCGCCAAAGAUAACACAAAAAUCCACAUUCUUAAAAGUCUUAUAACUUUUUAUUUUUGUCCUCACUGGCCUCCAAGUUUUCUAGGAUGAUGCAAUGUCCAGCCAUCAACACAUUUGUGAAGGAAUUUUUACUCCCCAAAAGAGCGCCCCCCCAUGGCAGGAGAAAAAAGUCCAUUUUUUCUUGUCUCCUAAGGUAAAAAUACACAUUGUUGAGUGUCACGCCUAUACACUUUGUCAUAUUGACACACAAUUUGACAAUCACGUGUAUCUCAAUAAGAUCUACAAAAAAGUCAAUAGGCACGUAUCUGUCAAAUGUAUGGUUAAAGGGCUAUUUCGCAUUUUUUGCCGAUUCGCACACAUUGGAAUGUGGCUAUCUCCUCCUAAGGCUUUCGUCCCACCGAUACCAAAUUUGCUCAGGGCAAUCUACACCCCAUGGCCAUUCAAAGUUGUAGAAAUCAUGACGCUGCACCCCACGGUUUACGUUCUAGGGGGCGCCAAAGAUGACCCAAAAAUCCACAUUCUUAAAAGUCAUUUUGGCCACUGCAGGAGUACAGAGUACUGCAGUUCUAGGGGGCGCCAAAGAUGACCCAAAAAUCCACAUUCUUAAAAGUCUUUUUGGCCACUGCAGGAGUACAGAGUACUGCCGGACACACACACAUAUACACACACGCCACACACACACACACACACACACACACACACACACACACACACACACACACACUCAGAGUCUGUUUUUUAGCACCUGCAAAAACAUGCUGUUUACAUAUUUGACAAGAAUGCAGAGGCUUCCUUUUGCCCCUGAAAAAAAUCAAAUUUCAAACACAACUUGACUGUUCAUUUCUCCAAAAGACAACCAUGAAGCUCCAUCCAAACCUGAAGCAGAUAGUUGGUGCAUGUGUACAGUAACCUGAGGAGAGUGAGGUGACUACUUCUGAGGAGAACAUGAGCAGUGAAGAUUCACCUUGGAGCUAGAACAGGGACGUGCACAUGAUUAUACAGGGGCAGGGGCUCAAGUUUUUUCCAGUCAUUUAUACAAUAUGGAAAUUAAUGUGAAAUUAAACCACAAAUAUGUGUGAUGAACUGUUUUUAAAACUUAAACUUCAAAUAAAAAUUGUAAACUUCAAAACAUAUGCAAAUUUUUAACAAAGAACAUAGUAAUUUACCUCUAUUUACAUCAAAAUGCAGGCAAUGGCCCAGGCGUUCUUUGUAAAAUUAUUUACAAAACACUGUAUAGUCUCACAAAUGUCACUUUUUAUUUAUGCCACUACAAAAAAACAUGAUGUAAAUGAUGCAUGAUGUAAAACAUGAUGUAAAAAACUUGUGUAGAUCCUCCUCUAUGUCAGUCCAUGUGUAAUUUUUCCAUAAUUCUUUGUUUUUUGCAGCAUUUUUGUUAGUGUAACUGCAGAUUGUGCUGACAGUGUCUAUGGCAAAAAAAAAAAAAAAACUGAAAAUGCCUCAACAUGAACUCCUGGUGGUCUCUGAGGGUGAAACCUGCUAACUGUGCAGCUCUCUCAGCUCUAGUCUCCCAUGCAGAGCUCGGAGCGCAUGUGUGGCUCUGCACCCUUAGCAGCGUUGCUAACUCCUCAGUAAGGAAAGCCUGCUUCAUGUCAGAGUCUCUAAACUCCAGAAGAAGUCGAUAAAAGUCCCUUUCUUUCUAAAAAAAAGUCGUUAGGGGGUCUGAAAAGUAAUUGAAUCUAACAACAAAGUCGCUAGGUUUGCAACUACGUGUCCCAGACUGCAUCCCUGCUGAGAGUCCCUCCCUCCCUUCUCAUGUUGCAGGAAGAACGUAAGCGCCCGCCCCUUGUCAAUCAGUCACCAUAUAAUUUUGGAUUGGUUGUUGUGGUGAAGUUUUCCACCAAUAGGAGAGAUGUUGUGGUGUGUUUUUUUUUUCUUUUGGCAUGCCUUUUCCGCCUGUAAGAGCUGUCGCUAAUGUCUGCAUGCUAUGUUUUCCUGUCUCAUACAGCGUGAUCGAGCGCCGAACGUGAUCAAAAUAAGCAGAAAAAAAGUAUCGCGGACAUAAUUUAUCAUAACUCUAGUUUUAUUUGGCCUAUCAACACAAUUUAAAAACUGGUAUAUAGUUUGAGGUCCUCACUUUUGAGAUAAGUUGAAACGGAGGGUGAACGAGGCUCCCUCUUGCAGCUACAUCCGGUUAAAUAUGUCAUGUGACUUGAACGCUGGGGAGCGUCAAUCGACUGCAGAGCCAGCAGACAAAGUAGUUAUGCCACUAAGAGGCACACAUUUGUCAUAUGCUAUAAUCCUAACAUAUUUUAAUGCUUUUUCUAUUUAAACCUAAUGGAUCUAAGGUUUGACCUUCAAAAUUUAGGAAGAAUAUUUUUUUGCAGUAAUGACCCCCUUAAACAACCAGAGGUCCUUUCCUAAAGAUUAUGGAAAUUUUAGUGAAGGCCUUGGUUUCUUUCCUUGCAAAAUGUAUAGAAAUAAUAAAGCUAAAUACCAUAAAAUGGUCUUGGCGUAUUAGCAGUGAUAUAAAAUAGUGGUUUGAAUAUGAAUGAACAACAAAAAAAAACAUCAACAGAGCCUUUUUGAGUUGGGAUUCUUUCAUUAUCACACAAAAACAGACAUAGACAGACAUCUAAAGGGUAAGGGAAUGAUCAGCCCUCCUAACUCUCAGAUGAAUCUUCAAAAUUCACCGCAGAAAUAUGCUUAUUAUUCUUCUCAGAGUACUGCAAGAUAUAUACAAACACACACAGACACACACACACACACACACACACACACACACACACACACACUCAGAGUCUGUUUUUUAGCACCUGCAAAAACAUGCUAUUUACAUAUUUGACAAGAAUGCAGAGGCUCCUUUUGCCCCUGAAAAAAAUCAAAUUUCAAACACAACUUGACUGCUCAUUUCUCCAAAAGACAACCAUGAAGCUCCAUCCAAACCUGAAGCAGGCAGUUGGUGCAUGUGUACAGUAACCUGAGGGGAGUGAGGUGACUGCUUCUGAGGAGAACAUGAGCAGUGAAGAUUCACCUUGGAGCUAGAACAGGGACGUGCACAUGAUUAUACAGGGGCAGGGGCUCAAGUUUUUUCCAGUCAUUUAUACAAUAUGGAAAUUAAUGUGAAAUUAAAAAACAAAGUAUUAAUAGAAAGGUAAUGACUGUCCUGUGUAGAUGACAGUGAUAUCCAAUAGGCUAGGCACUCACGAGGCUGGCUGUGGCAAGUGUAAGUGAAAGCAACACGCACUGGCAGGAAGAACAGCAAACGCCGAUGAAGGAAAAGGGUCUUUGCAGUGAUGGGCGUUACCAGAGAGGGCGAUGGCCAGAGGACACGAAUGGGACGGGGAGGCAGCGCGUUGGGGGGGGGGGCGGCGCGACACGGCUCGGGCCCGCCAGUGCCCCAACGGGGCCCUAGUUAGGGCCCGAGCGUAGCUGCUAAGCAGCUGCGAGAGCCCUCUUGUUCCUGUAGUUUCCUUCUUUUGUUAUUAUUAUUAUUAUUAUUAUUUUUCCUCCCCUUUGAACUGGAAAAUGGCCCACUUCCCACUGGCGAAAACUCAUGAAAUUUGGCAGGACGACCGGGCCUGGUGAAAAAUUUGAUAUUCCGAAGUCGCCCAAACCAGAAAAUUCAAAAUGGCUCCAUAGCGCCCCCUAAGGUGAAAAUUCACACUAUUCACUGUCACGCCUGUACGCUUUGUCAAAAUGACACAAAAAUUGACACACACAUGUAUCUCAAUAAGAUCUACAAAAAAGUCAGUGCGGGCGUAUCUGUCAAAUGUACGGUUAAAGGGUUAUUUCGCAUUUUUUGCCGAUCCGCACACAUUGGAAUUUCGCUAACUCCUCCGAAGGCUUUCGUUCCACCGGCACCACAUUUGCUCAGGCCAAUCUACACCCCAUGGCCAUUAAAAGUUAUUCAAAUCAUGACGCUGCACCCCACGGUUUAGGUUCUAGGGGGCGCCAAAGAUAACCCUAAGAUCCACAUAUUUAAAAGUCUUAUAACUUUUUAUUUUUGCCCUCACUGGCCUCCAAGUUUUCUAGGAUGAUGCAAUGUCCAGCCAUCAACACAUUUGUGAAGGAAUUUUUACUCCCCAAAAGAGCGCCCCCCCAUGGCAGGAGAAAAAAGUCCAUUUUUUCUUGUCCCCUAAGGUGAAAAUACACAUUGUUGAGUGUAACACCUGUACGCUUUGGCAAAAUGACACAAAAAUUGACACACACAUGUAUCUCAAUAAGAUCUACGAAAAAGUCAAUGCGCGCGUAUCUGUCAAAUGUACGGUUAAAGGGUUAUUCCGCAUUUUUUGCCGAUCCGCACACAUUGGAAUUUCGCUAACUCCUCCGAAGGCUUUCGUUCCACCGGCACCACAUUUGCUCAGGCCAAUCUACACCCCAUGGCCAUUAAAAGUUAUUCAAAUCAUGACGCUGCACCCCACGGUUUAGGUUCUAGGGGGAGCCAAAGAUAACCGUAAAAUCCACAUAUUUAAAAGUCUUAUAACUUUUUAUUUUUGUCCCCACUGGCCUCCAAGUUUUCUAGGAUGAUGCAAUGUCCAGCCAUCAACACAUUUGUGAAGGAAUUUUUACUCGGCAAAAGAGCGCCCCCCCAUGGCAGGAGAAAAAAGUCAAUUUUUUCUUGUCCACUAAGGUGAAAAUACACAUUGUUGAGUGCUACGCCUGUAUGUUUUGUCGUAUUGACACAAAAUUUUACAUACACGUGUAUUUCAAUAAGAUCUUCGAAAAAGUCAAUGGCCACGUAUCUGUAAAAUGUACGGUUAAAGGGUUAUUUCGCAUUUUUUGCCGAUCCGCACACAUUGGAAUUUCGCUAACUCCUCCGAAGGCUUUCGUUCCACCGGCACCACAUUUGCUCAGGCCAAUCUACACCCCAUGGCCAUUAAAAGUUAUUCAAAUCAUGACGCUGCACCCCACGGUUUAGGUUCUAGGGGGCGCCAAAGAUAACCCUAAGAUCCACAUAUUUAAAAGUCUUAUAACUUUUUAUUUUUGCCCUCACUGGCCUCCAAGUUUUCUAGGAUGAUGCAAUGUCCAGCCAUCAACACAUUUGUGAAGGAAUUUUUACUCCCCAAAAGAGCGCCCCCCCAUGGCAGGAGAAAAAAGUCCAUUUUUUCUUGUCCCCUAAGGUGAAAAUACACAUUGUUGAGUGUAACACCUGUACGCUUUGGCAAAAUGACACAAAAAUUGACACACACAUGUAUCUCAAUAAGAUCUACGAAAAAGUCAAUGCGCGCGUAUCUGUCAAAUGUACGGUUAAAGGGUUAUUCCGCAUUUUUUGCCGAUCCGCACACAUUGGAAUUUCGCUAACUCCUCCGAAGGCUUUCGUUCCACCGGCACCACAUUUGCUCAGGCCAAUCUACACCCCAUGGCCAUUAAAAGUUAUUCAAAUCAUGACGCUGCACCCCACGGUUUAGGUUCUAGGGGGAGCCAAAGAUAACCGUAAAAUCCACAUAUUUAAAAGUCUUAUAACUUUUUAUUUUUGUCCCCACUGGCCUCCAAGUUUUCUAGGAUGAUGCAAUGUCCAGCCAUCAACACAUUUGUGAAGGAAUUUUUACUCGGCAAAAGAGCGCCCCCCCAUGGCAGGAGAAAAAAGUCAAUUUUUUCUUGUCCACUAAGGUGAAAAUACACAUUGUUGAGUGCUACGCCUGUAUGUUUUGUCGUAUUGACACAAAAUUUUACAUACACGUGUAUUUCAAUAAGAUCUUCGAAAAAGUCAAUGGCCACGUAUCUGUAAAAUGUACGGUUAAAGGGUUAUUUCGCAUUUUUUGCAGAUUCGCACACAUUGGAAUUUCGCUAAUUCCUCCGAAGGCUUUCGUUCCACCGGCACCACAUUUGCUCAGGCCAAUCUACACCCCAUGGCCAUUAAAAGUUAUUCAAAUCAUGACGCUGCACCCCACGGUUUAGGUUCUAGGGGGCGCCAAAUAUAACCCUAAAAUCCACAUAUUUAAAAGUCUUAUAACUUUUUAUUUUUGUCCUCACUGGCCUCCAUGUUUUCUAGGAUGAUGCAAUGUCCAGCCAUCAACACAUUUGUGAAGGAGUUUUUUCUCUUUAAAAGAGCGCCCCCCAUGGCAGGAGAAUAAAGUCAAGUUUUUCCUGUUCAUCAUUCAAUGGCUCAAACGCACUGCUCUCUCGGCAAAAGCGAAAGGAGGAGCAACUUGCCAUUUGGAUAUAUCUUAGCUGUGUUUGUGCCCUCACUCAUGGUCCAGACUUUUUUCAAAUAGGACAUGGAGUUUUUCUGCAGCGAGCGUUUUGGUAGAAACUGCGCCUCCCGUUCAUUAUAAUGGUAAAUGACCACAAACAAGUGCGCACACCAUCUUUGGACCUUGAGUGUGACGCGAUCGGGUGGGGGAGGCGGUCGCGCUGGGGGCGGCGUGACACGGCUCGGGCCCGCCAGUGCCCCAACGGGGCCCUAGUUCUUUCUUUCUUUCUUCUUUUUCCUCCCCUUUGAACUGGAAAAUGGCCCACUUCCCACUGGCGAAAACUCAUGAAAUUUGGCAGGACGAUCGGGCCUGGUGAAAAAUUCGAUAUUCUGAAGUCGCCCAAACAAUAAAAUGCAAAAUGGCUCCAUAGCGCCCCCUAAGGUGGAAAUUCACACUAUUGACUGUCACGCCUGUACGCUUUGUCAUAUUGACACAAAAAUUGACACACAUAUGUAUCUCAAUAAGAUCUACAAAAAAGUCAGUGCGGCCGUAUCUGUCAAAAUUACGGUUAAAGGGUUAUUUUGCAUUUUUUGCCGAUCCGCACACAUUGGAAUUUCGCUUACUCCUCCGAAGGCUUUCGUUCCACCGGCACCACAUUUGCUCAGGCCAAUCUACACCCCGUGGCCAUUAAAAGUUAUCAAAAUCAUGACGCUGCACCCCAAGGUUUAGGUUCUAGGGGGCGCCAAAGAUAACACUAAAAUCCACAUAUUUAAAAGUCUUAUAACUUUUUAUUUUUGUCCUCACUGGCCUCCAAGUUUUCUAGGAUGAUGCAAUGUCCAGCCAUCAACACAUUUGUGAAGGAAUUUUUACUCACCAAAAGAGCGCCCCCCCAUGGCAGGAGAAAAAAGUCCAUUUUUUCUUGUCCCCUAAGGUGAAAAUACACAUCGUUGAGAUUCACGCCUAUACGCUUUGUCAAAAUGACACAAAAAUUGACACACACAUGUAACUCAAUAAGAUCUACGAAAAAGUCAACGCGCGCGUAUCUGUCAAAUGUACGGUUAAAGGGUUAUUCCGCAUUUUUUGCCGAUCCGCACACAUUGGAAUGUGGCUAACUCCUCCUAAGGCUUUCGUUCCACCGGCACCACAUUUGCUCAGGCCAAUCUACACCCCAUGGCCAUUAAAAGUUGUACAAAUCAUGACGCUGCACCCCACGGUUUAGGUUCUAGGGGGCGCCAAAGAUAACCCUAAAAUCCACAUAUUUAAAAGUCUUAUAACUUUUUAUUUUUGUCCUCACUGGCCUCCAAGUUUUCUAGGAUGAUGCAAUGUCCAGCCAUCAACACAUUUGUGAAGGAAUUUUUACUCCCCAAAAGAGCGCCCCCCCAUGGCAGGAGAAAAAAGUCAAUUUUUUCUUGUCCCCUAAGGUGAAAAUACAUAUUGUUGAGAUUCACGCCUAUACGCUUUGUCAUAUUGACACAAAAUUUGACAAUCACGUGCCUUGCCUGGUAUCAUUUUUUUCAGCACAACCUCACCUGUGCGAAUUUACAGUUAUUUUAUCAUGUUGACAUACUGAAUUUACACAAUGGACCCAAAUUCACACACAAAACAUAAAAUCCGAGUGGAAAAAAGUAACAUUUUUACUGUGAAAACCACAAAUAUGUGUGAUGAACUGUUUUUAAAACUUAAACUUCAAAUAAAAAUUGUAAACUUCAAAACAUAUGCAAAUUUUUAACAAAGAACAUAGUGAUUUACCUCUAUUUACAUCAAAAUGCAGGCAAUGGCCCAGGCGUUCUUUGUAAAAUUAUUUACAAAACACUGUAAAGUCUCACAAAUGUCACUUUUUAUUUAUGCCACUACAAAAAAACAUGAUGUAAAUGAUGCAUGAUGUAAAACAUGAUGUAAAAAACUUGUGUAGAUCCUCCUCUAUGUCAGUCCAUGUGUAAUUUUUCCAUAAUUCUUUGUUUUUUGCAGCAUUUUUGUUAGUGUAACUGCAGAUUGUGCUGACAGUGUCUAUGGCACAAAAAAAAAAAAAAAAUUAAAAUGCCUCAACAUGAACCCCUGGUGGUCUCUGAGGGUGAAACCUGCUAACUGCUGCAGCUCUGUGAGGUUCAGUUUCCCAUGCAGAGCUCUGAGCGCAUGUGUGGCUCUGCACCCUUAGCAGCGUUGCUAACUCCUCAGUAAGGAAAGCCUGCUUCAUGUCAGAGUCUCUAAACUCCAGAAGAAGUCGAUAAAAGUCCCUUUCUUUCUAAAAAAAAGUCGUUAGGGGGUCUGAAAAGUCAUUGAAUCUAACAACAAAGUCGCUAGGUUUGCAACUACGUGUCCCAGACUGCAUCCCUGCUGAGAGUCCCUCCCUCCCUUCUCAUGUUGCAGGAAGAACGUAAGCGCCCGCCCCUUGUCAAUCAGUCACCAUAUAAUUUUGGAUUGGUUGUUGUGGUCAAGUUUUCCACCAAUAGGAGAGAUGUUGUGUGUUUUUUUUUUCUUUUGGCAAGCCUUUUCCGCCUGUAAGACCUGUCGCUAAUGUCUGCAUGCUAUGUUUUCCUGUCUCAUACAGCGCGAUCGAGCGCCGAACGUGAUCAAAAUAAGCAGAAAAAAAGUAUCGCGGACAUAAUUUAUCAUAACUCUGGUUUUAUUUGGCCUAUCAACACAAUUUAAAAACUGGUAUAUAGGUUGAGGUCCUCACUUUUGAGAUAAGUUGAAACGGAGAGUCAACGAGGCUCCGUCUUGCAGCUACAUCCGGUUAAAUAUGUCAUGUGACUUGAACGCACACACAGACACACACACACGCACACACACACACACACACACACACACACACACACACACACACACACACACACACACACACACUCAGAGUCUGGUUUUUAGCACCUGCAAAAACAUGCUAUUUACAUAUUUGACAAGAAUGCAGAGGCUCCUUUUGCCCCUGAAAAAAAUCAAAUUUCAAACACAACUUGACUGGUCAUUUCUCCAAAAGACAACCAUGAAGCUCCAUCCAAACCUGAAGCAGGCAGUUGGUGCAUGUGUACAGUAACCUGAGGGGAGUGAGGUGAGUGCUUCUGAGGAGAACAUGAGCAGUGAAGAUUCACCUUGGAGCUAGAACAGAGACAUGCACAUGAUUAUACAGGGGCAGGGGCUCAAGUUUUUUCCAGUCGUUUAUACAAUAUGAAAAUUAAUGUGAAAUUAAAACACAAAGUAUUAAUAGAAAGGUAAUGACUGUCCUGUGUAGGUGACAGUGAUAUCCAAUAGGCUAGGCACUCACGAGGCUGGCUGUGGCAAGUGUAAGUGAAAGCAACACGCACUGGCAGGAAGAACAGCAAACGCCGAUGAAGGAAAAGGGUCUUUGCAGUGAUGGGCGUUACCAGAGAGGGCGAUGGCCAGAGGACACGAAUGGGACGGGGAGGCAGCGCGUUGGGGGGGGGGGGGGUGCGACACGGCUCGGGCCCGCCAGUGCCCCAACGGGGUCCUAGUGUUAUUAUUAGGGCCCGAGCGUAGCUGCUAAGCAGCUGCGAGAGCCCUAUUAUUCCCCAAGUGGUUUUUUAGGGCCCGAGCGUAGCUGCUAAGCAGCUGCGAGAGCCCUAUUAUUCCCCAAGUGGUUUUUCUUUGUUUCUUUCUUUCUUUAGGGCCCGAGCGUAGCUGCUAAGCAGCUGCGAGAGCCCUAUUAUUCCCCAAGUGGUUUUUCUUUGUUUCUUUUUUCUUUUUCCUCCCCUUUGAACUGGAAAAUGGCCCACUUCCCACUGGCGAAAACUCAUGAAAUUUGGCAGGACGACCGGGCCUGGUGAAAAAUUUGAUAUUCCGAAGUCGCCCAAACAAUAAAAUGCAAAAUGGCUCCAUAGCGCCCCCUAAGGUGAAAAUUCACAUGACGGCUGUACGCUUUGUCAUAUUGACACAAAAUUUGACACACACAUGUAUCUCAAUAAGAUCUACAAAAAAGUCAGUGCGGGCGUAUCUGUCAAAUGUACGGUUAAUGGGUUAUUUUGCAUUUUUUGCAGAUCUGCACACAUUGGAAUUUCGCUAACUCCUCCGAAGGCUUUCGUUCCACCGGCACCACAUUUGCUCAGGCCAAUCUACACCCCAUGGCCAUUAAAAGUUAUUCAAAUCAUGACGCUGCACCCCACGGUUUAGGUUCUAGGGGGCGCCAAAAAUAACCCUAAAAUCCACAUAUUUAAAAGUCUUAUAACUUUUUAUUUUUGUCCUCACUGGCCUCCAAGUUUUCUAGGAUGAUGCAAUGUCCAGCCAUCAACACAUUUGUGAAGGAAUUUUUACUCCCCAAAAGAGCGCCCCCCCAUGGCAGGAGAAAAAAGUCCAUUUUUUCUUGUCCCCUAAGGUGAAAAUACAUAUUGUUGAGAUUCACGCCUAUACGCUUUGUCAUAUUGACACAAGAUUUGACAAUCACGUGCCUUGCCUGGUAUCAUUUUUUUCAGCACAACCUCACCUGUGCGAAUUUACAGUUAUUUUAUCAUGUUGACAUACUGAAUUUACACAAUGGACCCAAAUUCACACACAAAACAUAAAAUCCGAGUGGAAAAAAGUAACAUUUUUACUGUGAAAACCACAAAUAUGUGUGAUGAACUGUUUUUAAAACUUAAACUUCAAAUAAAAAUUGUAAACUUCAAAACAUAUGCAAAUUUUUAACAAAGAACAUAGUGAUUUACCUCUAUUUACAUCAAAAUGCAGGCAAUGGCCCAGGCGUUCUUUGUAAAAUUAUUUACAAAACACUGUAUAGUCUCACAAAUGUCACUUUUUAUUUAUGCCACUACAAAAAAACAUGAUGUAAAUGAUGCAUGAUGUAAAACAUGAUGUAAAAAACUUGUGUAGAUCCUCCUCUAUGUCAGUCCAUGUGUAAUUUUUCCAUAAUUCUUUGUUUUUUGCAGCAUUUUUGUUAGUGUAACUGCAGAUUGUGCUGACAGUGUCUAUGGCACAAAAAAAAAAAAAAAUUUAAAAUGCCUCAACAUGAACCACUGGUGGUCUAUUAGGGUGAAACCUGCUAACUGCUGCAGCUCUGUCAGCUUCAGUCUCCCAUGCAGAGCUCUGAGCGCAUGUGUGGCUCUGCACCCUUAGCAGCGUUGCUAACUCCUCAGUAAGGAAAGCCUGCUUCAUGUCAGAGUCUCUAAACUCCAGAAGAAGUCGAUAAAAGUCCCUUUCUUUCUAAAAAAAGUCGUUAGGGGGUCUGAAAAGUCAUUGAAUCUAACAACAAAGUCGCUAGGUUUGCAACUACGUGUCCCAGACUGCAUCCCUGCUGAGAGUCCCUCCCUCGCUUCUCAUGUUGCAGGAAGAACGUAAGCGCCCGCCCCUUGUCAAUCAGUCACCAUAUAAUUUUGGAUUGGUUGUUGUGGUGAAGUUUUCCACCAAUAGGAGAGAUGUUGUGGUGUGUUUUUUUUUUCUUUUGGCAAGCCUUUUCCGCCUGUAAGACCUGUCGCUAAUGUCUGCAUGCUAUGUCUUCCUGUCUCAUACAGCGCGAUCGAGCGCCGAACGUGAUCAAAAUAAGCAGAAAAAAAGUAUCGCGGACAUAAUUUAUCAUAACUCUGGUUUUAUUUGGCCUAUCAACACAAUUUAAAAACUGGUAUAUAGGUUGAGGUCCUCACUUUUGAGAUAAGUUGAAACGGAGAGUCAACGAGGCUCCGUCUUGCAGCUACAUCCGGUUAAAUAUGUCAUGUGACUUGAACGCACACACAGACACACACACACGCACACACACACACACACACACACACACUCAGAGUCUGGUUUUUAGCACCUGCAAAAACAUGCUAUUUACAUAUUUGACAAGAAUGCAGAGGCUCCUUUUGCCCCUGAAAAAAAUCAAAUUUCAAACACAACUUGACUGGUCAUUUCUCCAAAAGACAACCAUGAAGCUCCAUCCAAACCUGAAGCAGGUAGUUGGUGCAUGUGCACAGUAACCUGAGGGGAGUGAGGUGAGUGCUUCUGAGGAGAACAUGAGCUGUGAAGAUUCACCUUGGAGCUAGAACAGAGACAUGCACAUGAUUAUACAGGGGCAGGGGCUCAAGUUUUUUCCAGUCGUUUAUACAAUAUGGAAAUUAAUGUGAAAUUAAAACACAAAGUAUUAAUAGAAAGGUAAUGACUGUCCUGUGUAGGUGACAGUGAUAUCCAAUAGGCUAGGCACUCACGAGGCUGGCUGUGGCAAGUGUAAGUGAAAGCAACACGCACUGGCAAGAAGAACAGCAAACGCCGAUGAAGGAAAAGGGUCUUUGCAGUGAUGGGCGUUACCAGAGAGGGCGAUGGCCAGAGGACACAAAUGGGACGGGGAGGCAGCACGUUUGGGGGGGGGACGCGACACGGCUCGGGCCCGCCAGUGCCCCAACGGGGUCCUAGUUAGGGCCCGAGCGUAGCUGCUAAGCAGCUGCGAGAGCCCUCUUGUUCCUGUAGUUUCCUUCUUUUGUUAGGGCCCGAGCCAGCUGCAGAGCAGCCGGGCGUAGGCCCUAUUAUUCCCCAAGUGGUUUUUCUUUGUUUCUUUCUUUCUUUCUUUAGGGCCCGAGCCAGCUGCAGAGCAGCCGGGCGUAGGCCCUGUUAUUCCUGUAGGGGUUUUUCUUUGUUAGGGCCCGAGCGUAGCUGCUAAGCAGCUGCGAGAGCCCUAUUAUUCCCCAAGUGGUUUUUCUUUGUUUCUUUCUUUCUUUCUUUCUUUCUUUCUUCUUUUUCCUCCCCUUUGAACUGGAAAAUGGCCCACUUCCCACUGGCGAAAACUCAUGAAAUUUGGCAGGACGACCGGGCCUGGUGAAAAAUUCGAUAUUCUGAAGUCACCCAAACAAUAAAAUGCAAAAUGGCUCCAUAGCGCCCCCUAAGGUGGAAAUUCACACUAUUGACUGUCACGCCUGUACGCUUUGUCAUAUUGACACAAAAAUUGACACACAUAUGUAUCUCAAUAAGAUCUACAAAAAAGUCAGUGCGGCCGUAUCUGUCAAAAUUACGGUUAAAGGGUUAUUUUGCAUUUUUUGCCGAUCCGCACACAUUGGAAUUUCGCUAACUCCUCCGAAGGCUUUCGUUCCACCGGCACCACAUUUGCUCAGGCCAAUCUACACCCCGUGGCCAUUAAAAGUUAUCAAAAUCAUGACGCUGCACCCCAAGGUUUAGGUUCUAGGGGGCGCCAAAGAUAACACUAAAAUCCACAUAUUUAAAAGUCUUAUAACUUUUUAUUUUUGUCCUCACUGGCCUCCAAGUUUUCUAGGAUGAUGCAAUGUCCAGCCAUCAACACAUUUGUGAAGGAAUUUUUACUCCCCAAAAGAGCGCCCCCCCAUGGCAGGAGAAAAAAGUCCAUUUUUUCUUGUCCCCUAAGGUGAAAAUACACAUUGUUGAGUGUCACGCCUAUACGCUUUGUCAUAUUGACACAAAAAUUGACACACAUAUGUAUCUCAAUAAGAUCUACAAAAAAGUCAGUGCGGCCGUAUCUGUCAAAAUUACGGUUAAAGGGUUAUUUUGCAUUUUUUGCCGAUCCGCACACAUUGGAAUUUCGCUAACUCCUCCGAAGGCUUUCGUUCCACCGGCACCACAUUUGCUCAGGCCAAUCUACACCCCGUGGCCAUUAAAAGUUAUCAAAAUCAUGACGCUGCACCCCAAGGUUUAGGUUCUAGGGGGCGCCAAAGAUAACACUAAAAUCCACAUAUUUAAAAGUCUUAUAACUUUUUAUUUUUGUCCUCACUGGCCUCCAAGUUUUCUAGGAUGAUGCAAUGUCCAGCCAUCAACACAUUUGUGAAGGAAUUUUUACUCCCCAAAAGAGCGCCCCCCCAUGGCAGGAGAAAAAAGUCCAUUUUUUCUUGUCCCCUAAGGUGAAAAUACACAUUGUUGAGUGUCACGCCUAUACGCUUUGUCAUAUUGACACAAAAUUUGACAAUCACGUGCCUUGCCUGGUAUCAUUUUUUUUCAGCACAAUCUCACCUGUGCGAAUUUACAGUUAUUUUAUCAUGUUGACAUACUGAAUUUACACAAUGGACCCAAAUUCACACACAAAACAUAAAAUCCGAGUGGAAAAAUGUAACAUUUUUACUGUGAAAACCACAAAUAUGUGUGAUGAACUGUUUUUAAAACUUAAACUUCAAAUAAAAAUUGUAAACUUCAAAACAUAUGCAAAUUUUUAACAAAGAACAUAGUGAUUUACCUCUAUUUACAUCAAAAUGCAGGCAAUGGCCCAGGCGUUCUUUGUAAAAUUAUUUACAAAACACUGUAUAGUUUCACAAAUGUCACUUUUUAUUUAUGCCACUACAAAAAAACAUGAUGUAAAUGAUGCAUGAUGUAAAACAUGAUGUAAAAAACUUGUGUAGAUCCUCCUCUAUGUCAGUCCAUGUGUAAUUUUUCCAUAAUUCUUUGUUUUUUGCAGCAUUUUUGUUAGUGUAACUGCAGAUUGUGCUGACAGUGUCUAUGGCACAAAAAAAAAAAAAAAUUUAAAAUGCCUCAACAUGAACCACUGGUGGUCUAUUAGGGUGAAACCUGCUAACUGCUGCAGCUCUGUCAGCUUCAGUCUCCCAUGCAGAGCUCUGAGCGCAUGUGUGGCUCUGCACCCUUAGCAGCGUUGCUAACUCCUCAGUAAGGAAAGCCUGCUUCAUGUCAGAGUCUCUGAACUCCAGAAGAAGUCGAUAAAAGUCCCUUUCUUUCUAAAAAAAAGUCGUUAGGGGGUCUGAAAAGUCAUUGAAUCUAACAACAAAGUCGCUAGGUUUGCAACUACGUGUCCCAGACUGCAUCCCUGCUGAGAGUCCCUCCCUCCCUUCUCAUGUUGCAGGAAGAACGUAAGCGCCCGCCCCUUGUCAAUCAGUCACCAUAUAAUUUUGGAUUGGUUGUUGUGGUGAAGUUUUCCACCAAUAGGAGAGAUGUUGUGGUGUGUUUUUUUUUUCUUUUGGCAAGCCUUUUCCGCCUUUAAGACCUGUCGCUAAUGUCUGCAUGCUAUGUUUUCCUGUCUCAUACAGUGCGAUCGAGCGCCGAACGUGAUCAAAAUAAGCAGAAAAAAAGUAUCGCGGACAUAAUUUAUCAUAACUCUGGUUUUAUUUGGCCUAUCAACACAAUUUAAAAACUGGUAUAUAGGUUGAGGUCCUCACUUUUGAGAUAAGUUGAAACGGAGAGUCAACGAGGCUCCGUCUUGCAGCUACAUCCGGUUAAAUAUGUCAUGUGACUUUAACGCACACACAGACACACACACACGCACACACACACACACACACACACACACACACACACACACACACACACACACACACACACACUCAGAGUCUGGUUUUUAGCACCUGCAAAAACAUGCUAUUUACAUAUUUGACAAGAAUGCAGAGGCUCCUUUUGCCCCUGAAAAAAAUCAAAUUUCAAACACAACUUGACUGGUCAUUUCUCCAAAAGACAACCAUGAAGCUCCAUCCAAACCUGAAGCAGGCAGUUGGUGCAUGUGUACAGUAACCUGAGGGGAGUGAGGUGAGUGCUUCUGAGGAGAACAUGAGCAGUGAAGAUUCACCUUGGAGCUAGAACAGAGACAUGCACAUGAUUAUACAGGGGCAGGGGCUCAAGUUUUUUCCGGGUCGUUUAUACAAUAUGGAAAUUAAUGUGAAAUUAAAACACAAAGUAUUAAUAGAAAGGUAAUGACUGUCCUGUGUAGGUGACAGUGAUAUCCAAUAGGCUAGGCACUCACGAGGCUGGCUGUGGUAAGUGUAAGUGAAAGCAACACGCACUGGCAAGAAGAACAGCAAACGCCGAUGAAGGAAAAGGGUCUUUGCAGUGAUGGGCGUUACCAGAGAGGGCGAUGGCCAGAGGACACAAAUGGGACAGGGAGGCAGCACGUUGGGAGGGGGACGCGACACGGCUCGGGCCCGCCAGUGCCCCAACGGGGUCCUAGUUUCUUUCUUUCUUCUUUUUCCUCCCCUUUGAACUGGAAAAUGGCCCACUUCCCACUGGCGAAAACUCAGGAAAUUUGGCAGGACGACCGGGCCUGGUGAAAAAUUUGAUAUUCCGAAGUCGCCCAAACAAGAAAAUGCAAAAUGGCUCCAUAGCGCCCCCUAAGGUGAAAAUUCACACUAUUGACUGUCACGCCUGUACGCUUUGUCAAAAUGACACAAAAAUUGACACACACAUGUAUCUCAAUAAGAUCUACAAAAAAGUCAGUGCGGGCGUAUCUGUCAAAUGUACGGUUAAAGGGUUAUUUCGCAUUUUUUGCCGAUCCGCACACAUUGGAAUUUCGCUAACUCCUCCGAAGGCUUUCGUUCCACCGGCACCACAUUUGCUCAGGCCAAUCUACACCCCGUGGCCAUUAAAAGUUAUCAAAAUCAUGACGCUGCACCCCAAGGUUUAGGUUCUAGGGGGCGCCAAAGAUAACACUAAAAUCCACAUAUUUAAAAGUCUUAUAACUUUUUAUUUUUGUCCUCACUGGCCUCCAAGUUUUCUAGGAUGAUGCAAUGUCCAGCCAUCAACACAUUUGUGAAGGAAUUUUUACUCCCCAAAAGAGCGCCCCCCCAUGGCAGGAGAAAAAAGUCCAUUUUUUCUUGUCCCCUAAGGUGAAAAUACACAUUGUUGAGUGUCACGCCUAUACGCUUUGUCAAAAUGACACAAAAAUUGACACACACAUGUAACUCAAUAAGAUCUACGAAAAAGUCAAUGCGCGCGUAUCUGUCAAAUGUACGGUUAAAGGGUUAUUCCGCAUUUUUUGCCGAUUCGCACACAUUGGAAUUUCGCUAACUCCUCCGAAGGCUUUCGUUCCACCGGCACCACAUUUGCUCAGGCCAAUCUACACCCCAUGGCCAUUAAAAGUUAUUCAAAUCAUGACGCUGCACCCCACGGUUUACGUUCUAGGGGGCGCCAAAGAUAACCCAAAAAUCCACAUUUUUAAAAGUCUUAUAACUUUUUAUUUUUGUCCUCACUGGCCUCCAAGUUUUCUAGGAUGAUGCAAUGUCCAGCCAUCAACACAUUUGUGAAGGAAUUUUUACUCCCCAAAAGAGCGCCCCCCCAUGGCAGGAGAAAAAAGUCCAUUUUUUCUUGUCCCCUAAGUUGAAAAUACACAUUGUUGACUGUCACGCCUGUACGCUUUGGCAAAAUGACACAAAAAUUGACAAUCAUGUGUAUCUCAAUUAGAUCUACGAAAAAGUCAAAGAGCGCGUAUCUGUAUAAUGUACGGUAAAAGGGCUAUUUUGCAUUUUUUGCCGAUUCGCACACAUUGGAAUGUGGCUAACUCCUCCUAAGGCUUUCGUCCCACUGACACCAAAUUUGCUCAGGCCAAUCUACACUCCAUGGCCAUUCAAAGUUGUAAAAAUCAUGACGCUGCACCCCACGGUUUACGUUUUAGGGGGCGCCAAAGAUGACCCAAAUAUACAUUACAGUAGACAAAGUAGUUUUGCCCACUGAGUGGCGCCAAAGGGACUUGUCUGUGGAGUCUGUGAGUCACUAUUGGCCGUUUUUGACUACUUUAGAUUUUACCUUUAUAUUUCCUCUUACAAAAUUUUUACCUUGCCUUGCCUGGUAUCAUUUUUUUCAGCACAACCUCACCUGUGUCAAUUUACAGUUAUUUUAUCAUUUUGACAUACUAUAUUUACACAUUGGACCCAAAUUCACACACAAAACAUAAAAUCCGAGUGGAAAAAAGUAACGUUUUUACUGUGAAAACCACAAAUAUGUGUGAUGAACUGUUUUUAAAACUUAAACUUCAAAUAAAAAUUGUAAACUUCAAAACAUAUGCAAAUUUUUAACAAAGAACAUAGUAAUUUACCUCUAUUUACAUCAAAAUGCAGGCAAUGGCCCAGGUGUUCUUUGUAAAAUUAUUUACAAAACACUGUAAAGUCUCACAAAUGUCACUUUUUAUUUAUGCCACUACAAAAAAACAUGAUGUAAAUGAUGCAUGAUGUAAAACAUGAUGUAAAAAACUUGUGUAGAUCCUCCUCUAUGUUAGUCCAUGUGUAAUUUUUCCAUAAUUCUUUGUUUUUUGCAGCAUUUUUGUUAGUGUAACUGCAGAUUGUGCUGACAGUGUCUAUGGCACAAAAAAAAAAAAACUGAAAAUGCCUCAACAUGAACCCCUGGUGGUCUCUGAGGGUGAAACCUGCUAACUGCUGCAGCUCUGUCAGCUUCAGUCUCCCAUGCAGAGCUCUGAGCACAUGUGUGGCUCUGCACCCUUAGCAGCGUUGCUAACUCCUCAGUAAGGAAAGCCUGCUUCAUGUCAGAGUCUCUAAACUCCAGAAGAAGUCGAUAAAAGUCACUUUCUUUCUAAAAAAAAGUCGUUAGGGGGUCUGAAAAGUCAUUGAAUCUAACAACAAAGUCGCUAGGUUUGCAACUACGUGUCCCAGACUGCAUCCCUGCUGAGAGUCCCUCCCUCCCUUCUCAUGUUGCAGGAAGAACGUAAGCGCCCGCCCCUUGUCAAUCAGUCACCAUAUAAUUUUGGAUUGGUUGUUGUGGUGAAGUUUUCCACCAAUAGGAGAGAUGUUGUGGUGUGUUUUUUUUUCUUUUGGCAAGCCUUUUCCGCCUGUAAGACCUGUCGCUAAUGUCUGCAUGCUAUGUUUUCCUGUCUCAUACAGCGCGGUCGAGCGCCAAACGUGAUCAAAAUAAGCAGAAGAAAAGUAUCGCGGACAUAAUUUAUCAUAACUCUGGUUUUAUUUGGCCUAUCAACACAAUUUAAAAACUGGUAUAUAGGUUGAGGUCCUCACUUUUGAGAUAAGUUGAAACGGAGAGUCAACGAGGCUCCGUCUUGCAGCUACAUCCGGUUAAAUAUGUCAUGUGACUUGAACGCACACACAGACACACACACGCACACACACACACACACACACACACACACACACACACACACACACACACACACUCAGAGUCUGGUUUUUAGCACCUGCAAAAACAUGCUAUUUACAUAUUUGACAAGAAUGCAGAGGCUCCUUUUGCCCCUGAAAAAAAUCAAAUUUCAAACACAACUUGACUGGUCAUUUCUCCAAAAGACAACCAUGAAGCUCCAUCCAAACCUGAAGCAGGCAGUUGGUGCAUGCAGUAGCGGUUCGAGGCACGGGCGAACAGGGCAGCCGCCCGGGGCGGCAUUUGUGUUAUGACUCAUGGGGGGCGGCACGAGCACUUCUAAAAAAUAAAAUAAAAGAUAAUGAUAAUAAAUCUUAACCGCAAAGAGGUUUUGUAUCAACUCUUGUUGUCAAAUUGGCGCCCCCCCCCCCCCCCCCCGCUGCUGUAGGCGCCCCUGCUUGCUCCGAAGGUGCUGCACAGAGGCUGACAGACUGUGUGAGAUGAGGUGGGGAGAGAGUCGCGGGGGCGACAGCUCUCCUCUGUGUACGCAUGUCAGCAUAUCAGCGGGAGCGCGGCUGCGCAUUUUUACUCUGCCGGGAGCGCGGACACGUCAUUUUGUAACAUUCUGUAGUUUUUUAAUCAUUUCUGGAGUCUUGGUGAAUGAAAUCACCGUACCCGUCUGCCUUUGAUAGGCGAAUAAAGCGCUCGGGUUCAUGCUCGGAUCUUGCUACGUGCUUGAUGAGCUUCAUGAGUGAAGUAAACAAUGACGGAGGCAGAGAGCAGCUUAAGAGGAGAAACAUCCAGCAGUGUGAACAAACUCUUCAUAUAGAGUGCUUUGGCUCACACUAUCAGUGUUUUCUGUGAGUGUUGAAUGACUUUGGGUGAGAACAGAGAUAAACACACUGUCAGCCACGUAUUUAUUUAUUCAUUUUUUAGUUUUUAGUUCUGCUUUUGUACUGGCACUAUACUGGGGCAGCUGUAUACCCUUUCAACACCUUAUUUUCUAUAUUUACAUUUGUAUUGAAUGGACACUUUAUCAUGACUGCCACUUUAUUUUACAGAAAGCAAAUUAUUUGUCAUUCUCCAGUGCAGAGCCUUUACUUUUAUUUAUACAGCCGCUUCAUUUCAUUUAAGUUUGUUUGUUCAAGGUUUUCAAAAAUGUGAUGAAGGUUCGCAAAACUAAAAGAGAGCUUUCUUGAAAGCCACAUGUAUAAGCUCUCAAAUACUUUUUCAAUUUUGUUUCUAUCUACUACAGAGGCCGAGAUAGCAGCUUUUUUGUAAACCUUAACACGUCAGAAAAGCUCAGGAUCUGGGGGCCCUUCUCAAAAUGGCCCUCAGGAUUGUGUUUUUUUCUAUUGAAGGAUUUCUGCAAUUGAGAAAUUAUUUUUGUUGUUAUAAUCAUAAAAAUACUACAUAAUAAUACAAAACUCUCUUUUUGUGUUUGUGUGUUGGGGGGGGGGGGGCAGGCACUUGGAGGGGUGCUCGCCCGGGGAGUAAUUUGGUCUAGAACCGCCACUGGGUGCAUGUGUACAGUAACCUGAGGGGAGUGAGGUGAGUGCUUCUGAGGAGAACAUGAGCAGUGAAGAUUCACCUUGGAGCUAGAACAGAGACAUGCACAUGAUCAUACAGGGGCAGGGGCUCAAGUUUUUUCCAGUCGUUUAUACAAUAUGGAAAUUAAUGUGAAAUUAAAACACAAAGUAUUAAUAGAAAGGUAAUGACUGUCCUGUGUAGGUGACAGUGAUAUCCAAUAGGCUAGGCACUCACGAGGCUGGCUGUGGCAAGUGUAAGUGAAAGCAACAUGCACUGGCAGGAUGAACAGCAAACGCCGAUGAAGGAAAAGGGUCUUUGCAGUGAUGGGCGUUACCAGAGAGGGCGAUGGCCAGAGGACACAAAUGGGACGGGGAGGCAGCACGUUGGGGGGGGGACGCGACACGGCUCGGGCCCGCCAGUGCCCCAACGGGGUCCUAGUUAGGGCCCGAGCGUAGCUGCUAAGCAGCUGCGAGAGCCCUAUUAUUCCCCAAGUGGUUUUUCUUUGUUUCUUUCUUUCUUUAGGGCCCGAGCGUAGCUGCUAAGCAGCUGCGAGAGCCCUCUUGUUCCUGCAUGUUUCCUUCUUUCGUUAUUAUUUUUCCUCCGCUUUAAACUGGAAAAUGGCCCACUUCCCACUGGCGAAAACUCAGGAAAUUUGGCAGGACGACCGGGCCUGGUGAAAAAUUCGAUAUUCUGAAGUCGCCCAAACAAUAAAAUGCAAAAUGGCUCCAUAGCGCCCCCUAAGGUGAAAAUUCACAUGACGGCUGUACGCUUUGUCAUAUUGACACAAAAAUUGACACACACAUGUAUCUCAAUAAGAUCUACAAAAAAGUCAGUGCGGGCGUAUCUGUCAAAUGUACGGUUAAUGGGUUAUUUUGCAUUUUUUGCAGAUCUGCACACAUUGGAAUUUCGCUAACUCCUCCGAAGGCUUUCGUUCGACCGGCACCACAUUUGCGCAGGCCAAUCUACCCCCCAUGGCCAUUAAAAGUUGUACAAAUCAUGACGCUGCACCCCACGGUUUACGUUCUAGGGGGCGCCAAAGAUAACCCAAAAUCCACAUUCUUAAAAGUCUUAUAACUUUUUAUUUUUGUCCUCACUGCCCUCCAAGUUUUCUAGGAUGAUGCAAUGUCCAGCCAUCAACACAUUUGUGAAGGAAUUUUUACUCCCCAAAAGAGCGCCCCCCCAUGGCAGGAGAAAAAAGUCAAUUUUUUCUUGUCCCCUUACAUGAAAAUACACAUUGUUGAGUGUCACGCCUGAACGCUUUGUCAUAUUGACACAAAAAUUGACAAUCAUGUGUAUCUCAAUUAGAUCUACGAAAAAGUCAAAAAGCGCGUAUCUGUAUAAUGUACGGUUAAAGGGCUAUUUCGCAUUUUUUGCCGAUUCGCACACAUUGGAAUGUGGCUAUCUCCUCCUAAGGCUUUCGUCCCACCGAUACCAAAUUUGCUCAGGGCAAUCUACACCCCAUGCCCAUUCAAAGUUGUAAAAAUCAUGACGCUGCACCCCACGGUUUACGUUCUAGGGGGCGCCAAAGAUGACCCAAAAAUCCACAUUCUUAAAAGUCAUUUUGGCCACUGCAGGAGUACAGAGUACUGCAGUUCUAGGGGGCGCCAAAGAUGACCCAAAAAUCCACAUUCUUAAAAGUCUUUUUGGCCACUGCAGGAGUACAGAGUACUGCAGGAUACACACACAUACACACACACACACACACACACACACACACACACACACACACACACACACACACACAUUUUUCCAUAAUUCUUUGUUUUUUGCAGCAUUUUUAGGGCCCGAGCGUAGCUGCUAAGCAGCUGCGAGAGCCCUCUUGUUCCUGCAUGUUUCCUUCUUUCGUUAUUAUUUUUCCUCCGCUUUAAACUGGAAAAUGGCCCACUUCCCACUGGCGAAAACUCAGGAAAUUUGGCAGGACGACCGGGCCUGGUGAAAAAUUCGAUAUUCUGAAGUCGCCCAAACAAUAAAAUGCAAAAUGGCUCCAUAGCGCCCCCUAAGGUGAAAAUUCACAUGACGGCUGUACGCUUUGUCAUAUUGACACAAAAAUUGACACACACAUGUAUCUCAAUAAGAUCUACAAAAAAGUCAGUGCGGGCGUAUCUGUCAAAUGUACGGUUAAUGGGUUAUUUUGCAUUUUUUGCAGAUCUGCACACAUUGGAAUUUCGCUAACUCCUCCGAAGGCUUUCGUUCGACCGGCACCACAUUUGCGCAGGCCAAUCUACCCCCCAUGGCCAUUAAAAGUUGUACAAAUCAUGACGCUGCACCCCACGGUUUACGUUCUAGGGGGCGCCAAAGAUAACCCAAAAUCCACAUUCUUAAAAGUCUUAUAACUUUUUAUUUUUGUCCUCACUGCCCUCCAAGUUUUCUAGGAUGAUGCAAUGUCCAGCCAUCAACACAUUUGUGAAGGAAUUUUUACUCCCCAAAAGAGCGCCCCCCAUGGCAGGAGAAAAAAGUCAAUUUUUUCUUGUCCCCUUACAUGAAAAUACACAUUGUUGAGUGUCACGCCUGAACGCUUUGUCAUAUUGACACAAAAAUUGACAAUCAUGUGUAUCUCAAUUAGAUCUACGAAAAAGUCAAAAAGCGCGUAUCUGUAUAAUGUACGGUUAAAGGGCUAUUUCGCAUUUUUUGCCGAUUCGCACACAUUGGAAUGUGGCUAUCUCCUCCUAAGGCUUUCGUCCCACCGAUACCAAAUUUGCUCAGGGCAAUCUACACCCCAUGCCCAUUCAAAGUUGUAAAAAUCAUGACGCUGCACCCCACGGUUUACGUUCUAGGGGGCGCCAAAGAUGACCCAAAAAUCCACAUUCUUAAAAGUCAUUUUGGCCACUGCAGGAGUACAGAGUACUGCAGUUCUAGGGGGCGCCAAAGAUGACCCAAAAAUCCUCUCGCAGCUAAGCAGCUGCGAGAGCCCUCUUGUUCCUGCAUGUUUCCUUCUUUCGUUAUUAUUUUUCCUCCGCUUUAAACUGGAAAAUGGCCCACUUCCCACUGGCGAAAACUCAGGAAAUUUGGCAGGACGACCGGGCCUGGUGAAAAAUUCGAUAUUCUGAAGUCGCCCAAACAAUAAAAUGCAAAAUGGCUCCAUAGCGCCCCCUAAGGUGAAAAUUCACAUGACGGCUGUACGCUUUGUCAUAUUGACACAAAAAUUGACACACACAUGUAUCUCAAUAAGAUCUACAAAAAAGUCAGUGCGGGCGUAUCUGUCAAAUGUACGGUUAAUGGGUUAUUUUGCAUUUUUUGCAGAUCUGCACACAUUGGAAUUUCGCUAACUCCUCCGAAGGCUUUCGUUCGACCGGCACCACAUUUGCGCAGGCCAAUCUACCCCCCAUGGCCAUUAAAAGUUGUACAAAUCAUGACGCUGCACCCCACGGUUUACGUUCUAGGGGGCGCCAAAGAUAACCCAAAAUCCACAUUCUUAAAAGUCUUAUAACUUUUUAUUUUUGUCCUCACUGCCCUCCAAGUUUUCUAGGAUGAUGCAAUGUCCAGCCAUCAACACAUUUGUGAAGGAAUUUUUACUCCCCAAAAGAGCGCCCCCCCAUGGCAGGAGAAAAAAGUCAAUUUUUUCUUGUCCCCUUACAUGAAAAUACACAUUGUUGAGUGUCACGCCUGAACGCUUUGUCAUAUUGACACAAAAAUUGACAAUCAUGUGUAUCUCAAUUAGAUCUACGAAAAAGUCAAAAAGCGCGUAUCUGUAUAAUGUACGGUUAAAGGGCUAUUUCGCAUUUUUUGCCGAUUCGCACACAUUGGAAUGUGGCUAUCUCCUCCUAAGGCUUUCGUCCCACCGAUACCAAAUUUGCUCAGGGCAAUCUACACCCCAUGCCCAUUCAAAGUUGUAAAAAUCAUGACGCUGCACCCCACGGUUUACGUUCUAGGGGGCGCCAAAGAUGACCCAAAAAUCCACAUUCUUAAAAGUCAUUUUGGCCACUGCAGGAGUACAGAGUACUGCAGUUCUAGGGGGCGCCAAAGAUGACCCAAAAAUCCACAUUCUUAAAAGUCUUUUUGGCCACUGCAGGAGUACAGAGUACUGCAGGAUACACACACAUACACACACACACACACACACACACACACACACACACACACACACACUCAGAGUCUGUUUUUUAGCACCUGCAAAAACAUGCUGUUUACAUAUUUGACAAGAAUGCAGAGGCUUCCUUUUGCCCCUGAAAAAAAUCAGAUUUCAAACACAACUUGACUGUUCAUUUCUCCAAAAGACAACCAUGAAGCUCCAUCCAAACCUGAAGCAGAUAGUUGGUGCAUGUGUACAGUAACCUGAGGGGAGUGAGGUGACUAUUUCUGAGGAGAACAUGAGCAGUGAAGAUUCACCUUGGAGCUAGAACAGGGACGUGCACAUGAUUAUACAGGGGCAGGGGCUCAAGUUUUUUCCAGUCAUUUAUACAAUAUGGAAAUUAAUGUGAAAUUAAACCACAAAUAUGUGUGAUGAACUGUUUUUAAAACUUAAACUUCAAAUAAAAAUUGUAAACUUCAAAACAUAUGCAAAUUUUUAACAAAGAACAUAGUAAUUUACCUCUAUUUACAUCAAAAUGCAGGCAAUGGCCCAGGCGUUCUUUGUAAAAUUAUUUACAAAACACUGUAUAGUCUCACAAAUGUCACUUUUUAUUUAUGCCACUACAAAAAAACAUGAUGUAAAUGAUGCAUGAUGUAAAAAACUUGUGUAGAUCCUCCUCUAUGUCAGUCCAUGUGUAAUUUUUCCAUAAUUCUUUGUUUUUUGCAGCAUUUUUAGGGCCCGAGCGUAGCUGCUAAGCAGCUGCGAGAGCCCUCUUGUUCCUGCAUGUUUCCUUCUUUCGUUAUUAUUUUUCCUCCGCUUUAAACUGGAAAAUGGCCCACUUCCCACUGGCGAAAACUCAGGAAAUUUGGCAGGACGACCGGGCCUGGUGAAAAAUUCGAUAUUCUGAAGUCGCCCAAACAAUAAAAUGCAAAAUGGCUCCAUAGCGCCCCCUAAGGUGAAAAUUCACAUGACGGCUGUACGCUUUGUCAUAUUGACACAAAAAUUGACACACACAUGUAUCUCAAUAAGAUCUACAAAAAAGUCAGUGCGGGCGUAUCUGUCAAAUGUACGGUUAAUGGGUUAUUUUGCAUUUUUUGCAGAUCUGCACACAUUGGAAUUUCGCUAACUCCUCCGAAGGCUUUCGUUCGACCGGCACCACAUUUGCGCAGGCCAAUCUACCCCCCAUGGCCAUUAAAAGUUGUACAAAUCAUGACGCUGCACCCCACGGUUUACGUUCUAGGGGGCGCCAAAGAUAACCCAAAAUCCACAUUCUUAAAAGUCUUAUAACUUUUUAUUUUUGUCCUCACUGCCCUCCAAGUUUUCUAGGAUGAUGCAAUGUCCAGCCAUCAACACAUUUGUGAAGGAAUUUUUACUCCCCAAAAGAGCGCCCCCCCAUGGCAGGAGAAAAAAGUCAAUUUUUUCUUGUCCCCUUACAUGAAAAUACACAUUGUUGAGUGUCACGCCUGAACGCUUUGUCAUAUUGACACAAAAAUUGACAAUCAUGUGUAUCUCAAUUAGAUCUACGAAAAAGUCAAAAAGCGCGUAUCUGUAUAAUGUACGGUUAAAGGGCUAUUUCGCAUUUUUUGCCGAUUCGCACACAUUGGAAUGUGGCUAUCUCCUCCUAAGGCUUUCGUCCCACCGAUACCAAAUUUGCUCAGGGCAAUCUACACCCCAUGCCCAUUCAAAGUUGUAAAAAUCAUGACGCUGCACCCCACGGUUUACGUUCUAGGGGGCGCCAAAGAUGACCCAAAAAUCCACAUUCUUAAAAGUCAUUUUGGCCACUGCAGGAGUACAGAGUACUGCAGUUCUAGGGGGCGCCAAAGAUGACCCAAAAAUCCACAUUCUUAAAAGUCUUUUUGGCCACUGCAGGAGUACAGAGUACUGCAGGAUACACACACAUACACACACACACACACACACACACACACACACACACACACACACACACACACACACACUCAGAGUCUGUUUUUUAGCACCUGCAAAAACAUGCUGUUUACAUAUUUGACAAGAAUGCAGAGGCUUCCUUUUGCCCCUGAAAAAAAUCAGAUUUCAAACACAACUUGACUGUUCAUUUCUCCAAAAGACAACCAUGAAGCUCCAUCCAAACCUGAAGCAGAUAGUUGGUGCAUGUGUACAGUAACCUGAGGGGAGUGAGGUGACUAUUUCUGAGGAGAACAUGAGCAGUGAAGAUUCACCUUGGAGCUAGAACAGGGACGUGCACAUGAUUAUACAGGGGCAGGGGCUCAAGUUUUUUCCAGUCAUUUAUACAAUAUGGAAAUUAAUGUGAAAUUAAACCACAAAUAUGUGUGAUGAACUGUUUUUAAAACUUAAACUUCAAAUAAAAAUUGUAAACUUCAAAACAUAUGCAAAUUUUUAACAAAGAACAUAGUAAUUUACCUCUAUUUACAUCAAAAUGCAGGCAAUGGCCCAGGCGUUCUUUGUAAAAUUAUUUACAAAACACUGUAUAGUCUCACAAAUGUCACUUUUUAUUUAUGCCACUACAAAAAAACAUGAUGUAAAUGAUGCAUGAUGUAAAAAACUUGUGUAGAUCCUCCUCUAUGUCAGUCCAUGUGUAAUUUUUCCAUAAUUCUUUGUUUUUUGCAGCAUUUUUAGGGCCCGAGCGUAGCUGCUAAGCAGCUGCGAGAGCCCUCUUGUUAGGGCCCGAGCGUAGCUGCUAAGCAGCUGCGAGAGCCCUCUUGUUCCUGAUGGAUUCUUCUUUCGUUAUUUUUCCUCCGCUUUAAACUGGAAAAUGGCCCACUUCCCACUGGCGAAAACUCAGGAAAUUUGGCAGGACGACCGGGCCUGGUGAAAAAUUCGAUAUUCUGAAGUCGCCCAAACAAAAAAAUGAAAAAUGGCUCCAUAGCGCCCCCUAUGGUGAAAACUCACCUGACGCCUGUACGCUUUGUCAAAAUGACACAAAAUUUGACACACAUGUGUAUCUCAAUAAGAUCUACAAAAAAGUCAGUGCGGGCGUAUCUGUCAAAUGUACCGUUAAAGGGCUAUUUCGCAUUUUUUGCCGAUCCGCACACAUUGGAAUUUCGCUAACUCCUCCGAAGGCUUUCGUUCCACCGGCACCAAAUUUGCUCAGGACAAUCUACACCCCAUGGCCAUUAAAAGUUGUACAAAUAAUGACGCUGCACCCCACGGUUUACAUUCUAGGGGGCGCCAAAGAUAACCCAAAAAUCCACAUUCUUAAAAGUCUUAUAACUUUUUAUUUUUGUCCUCACUGGCCUCCAAGUUUUCUAGGAUGAUGCAAUGUCCAGCCAUCAACACAUUUGUGAAGAAAUUUUUACUCCCCAAAAGAGCGCCCCCCCAUGGCAGGAGAAAAAAUCCAUUUUUUCUUGUCCCCUAAGGUGAAAAUACACAUUGUUGAGUGCCACGCCUGAACGCUUUGUCAUAUUGACACAAAAUUUGACAAUCACGUGUAUCUCAAUAAGAUCUAUGAAAAAGUCAAUGCACAAAUAUCUGUAAAAUGUACGGUUAAAGGGCUAUUUUGCAUUUUUUGCCGAUUCACACACAUUGGAAUGUGGCUAACUCCUCCUAAGGCUUUCGUCCCACUGACACCAAAUUUGCUCAGGCCAAUCUACACCCCAUGGCCAUUCAAAGUUGUAAAAAUCAUGACGCUGCACCCCACGGUUUACGUUCUAGGGGGCGCCAAAGAUGACCCAAAUAUCCACAUUCUUAAAAGAAUCCACACCCCCCCCCCCCUCCCCCCAUGGCAGGAGAAAAAGUCAAGUUUUUCCUGCCCAUCGCUCAAUGGCUCAAUCGCAUCGCUCUUUCGGCAAAAGCGAAAGGAGGGGCAACUUGCCAUUUGGAUAUAUCCUAGCUGUGUUCGUGCCCUCACUCAUGGUCCAGACUUUUUUCAAAUAGGACAUGAAGUUUCUCUGCAGCGAGUGUUUUGGUAGAAACUGCGCCUCCCAUUCAUUAUAAUGGGAAAUGACCACAGACAAGUGCGCACUCCAUCUUUGGACCUUGAGUGUGACGCGAUCGGGAGGUGGAGGCGGUCGCGCUGGGGGCGGCGCGACGCGGCGCGACGCGGCUCGGGCCCGACAGUGCCCCACCGGGGCCCUAGUUAGGGCCCGAGCGUAGCUGCUAAGCAGCUGCGAGAGCCCUCUUGUUCCUGCAUGUUUCCUUCUUUCGUUAUUAUUUUUCCUCCGCUUUAAACUGGAAAAUGGCCCACUUCCCACUGGCGAAAACUCAUGAAAUUUGGCAGGACGACCGGGCCUGGUGAAAAAUUCGAUAUUCUGAAGUUGCCCAAACAAUAAAAUGCAAAAUGGCUCCAUAGCGCCCCCUAAGGUGAAAAUUCACAUGACGGCUGUACGCUUUGUCAUAUUGACACAAAAAUUGACACACACAUGUAUCUCAAUAAGAUCUACAAAAAAGUCAGUGCGGGCGUAUCUGUCAAAUGUACGGUUAAUGGGUUAUUUUGCAUUUUUUGCAGAUCUGCACACAUUGGAAUUUCGCUAACUCCUCCGAAGGCUUUCGUUCGACCGGCACCACAUUUGCGCAGGCCAAUCUACCCCCCAUGGCCAUUAAAAGUUGUACAAAUCAUGACGCUGCACCCCACGGUUUACGUUCUAGGGGGCGCCAAAGAUAACCCAAAAUCCACAUUCUUAAAAGUCUUAUAACUUUUUAUUUUUGUCCUCACUGCCCUCCAAGUUUUCUAGGAUGAUGCAAUGUCCAGCCAUCAACACAUUUGUGAAGGAAUUUUUACUCCCCAAAAGAGCGCCCCCCCAUGGCAGGAGAAAAAAGUCAAUUUUUUCUUGUCCCCUUACAUGAAAAUACACAUUGUUGAGUGUCACGCCUGAACGCUUUGUCAUAUUGACACAAAAAUUGACAAUCAUGUGUAUCUCAAUUAGAUCUACGAAAAAGUCAAAAAGCGCGUAUCUGUAUAAUGUACGGUUAAAGGGCUAUUUCGCAUUUUUUUCCGAUUUGCACACAUUGGAAUGUGGCUAUCUCCUCCUAAGGCUUUCGUCCCACCGAUACCAAAUUUGCUCAGGGCAAUCUACACCCCAUGGCCAUUCAAAGUUGUAAAAAUCAUGACGCUGCACCCCACGGUUUACGUUCUAGGGGGCGCCAAAGAUGACCCAAAAAUCCACAUUCUUAAAAGUCAUUUUGGCCACUGCAGGAGUACAGAGUACUGCAGUUCUAGGGGGCGCCAAAGAUGACCCAAAAAUCCACAUUCUUAAAAGUCUUUUUGGCCACUCCAGGAGUACAGAGUACUGCAGGAUACACACACAUAUACACACACACACACACACACACACACACACACACACACACACACACACACACACACUCAGAGUCUGUUUUUUAGCACCUGCAAAAACAUGCUGUUUACAUAUUUGACAAGAAUGCAGAGGCUUCCUUUUGCCCCUGAAAAAAAUCAGAUUUCAAACACAACUUGACUGGUCAUUUCUCCAAAAGACAACCAUGAAGCUCCAUCCAAACCUGAAGCAGAUAGUUGGUGCAUGUGUACAGUAACCUGAGGGGAGUGAGGUGACUAUUUCUGAGGAGAACAUGAGCAGUGAAGAUUCACCUUGGAGCUAGAACAGGGACGUGCACAUGAUUAUACAGGGGCAGGGGCUCAAGUUUUUUCCAGUCGUUUAUACAAUAUGGAAAUUAAUGUGAAAUUAAAAAAACAAAGUAUUAAUAGAAAGGUAAUGACUGUCCUGUGUAGGUGACAGUGAUAUCCAAUAGGCUAGGCACUCACGAGGCUGGCUGUGGCAAGUGUAAGUGAAAGCAACACGCACUGGCAGGAAGAACAGCAAACGCCGAUGAAGGAAAAGGGUCUUUGCAGUGAUGGGCGUUACCAGAGAGGACGAUGGCCAGAGGACGCGAAUGGGACGGGGAGGCAGCGCGUUGGGGGGGGGGGGGGGGCGACACAGCUCGGGCCCGCCAGUGCCCCAACGGGACCCUAGUUCUUUCUUUCUUUCUUCUUUUUCCUCCCCUUUGAACUGGAAAAUGGCCCACUUCCCACUGGCGAAAACUCAUGAAAUUUGGCAGGACGACCGGGCCUGGUGAAAAAUUCGAUAUUCUGAAGUCGCCCAAACAAUAAAAUGCAAAAUGGCUCCAUAGCGCCCCCUAAGGUGGAAAUUCACACUAUUGACUGUCACGCCUGUACGCUUUGUCAUAUUGACACAAAAAUUGACACACAUAUGUAUCUCAAUAAGAUCUACAAAAAAGUCAGUGCGGCCGUAUCUGUCAAAAUUACGGUUAAAGGGUUAUUUCGCAUUUUUUGCCGAUCCGCACACAUUGGAAUUUCGCUAACUCCUCCGAAGGCUUUCGUUCCACCGGCACCACAUUUGCUCAGGCCAAUCUACACCCCGUGGCCAUUAAAAGUUAUCAAAAUCAUGACGCUGCACCCCAAGGUUUAGGUUCUAGGGGGCGCCAAAGAUAACACUAAAAUCCACAUAUUUAAAAGUCUUAUAACUUUUUAUUUUUGUCCUCACUGCCCUCCAAGUUUUCUAGGAUGAUGCAAUGUCCAGCCAUCAACACAUUUGUGAAGGAAUUUUUACUCCCCAAAAGAGCGCCCCCCCAUGGCAGGAGAAAAAAGUCAAUUUUUUCUUGUCCCCUUACAUGAAAAUACACAUUGUUGAGUGUCACGCCUGAACGCUUUGUCAUAUUGACACAAAAAUUGACAAUCAUGUGUAUCUCAAUUAGAUCUACGAAAAAGUCAAAAAGCGCGUAUCUGUAUAAUGUACGGUUAAAGGGCUAUUUCGCAUUUUUUGCCGAUUCGCACACAUUGGAAUUUCGCUAACUCCUCCGAAGGCUUUCGUUCGACCGGCACCACAUUUGCGCAGGCCAAUCUACCCCCCAUGGCCAUUAAAAGUUGUACAAAUCAUGACGCUGCACCCCACGGUUUACGUUCUAGGGGGCGCCAAAGAUAACCCAAAAUCCACAUUCUUAAAAGUCUUAUAACUUUUUAUUUUUGUCCUCACUGGCCUCCAAGUUUUCUAGGAUGAUGCAAUGUCCAGCCAUCAACACAUUUGUGAAGGAAUUUUUACUCCCCAAAAGAGCGCCCCCCCAUGGCAGGAGAAAAAAGUCCAUUUUUUCUUGUCCCCUAAGGUGAAAAUACACAUUGUUGAGUGUUACGCCUGUACGCUUUGGCAAAAUGACACAAAAAUUGACACACACAUGUAACUCAAUAAGAUCUACAAAAAAGUCAAUGCGCGCGUAUCUGUCAAAUGUACGGUUAAAGGGUUAUUCCGCAUUUUUUGCCGAUUCGCACACAUUGGAAUUUCGCUAACUCCUCCGAAGGCUUUCGUUCCACCGGCACCACAUUUGCUCAGGCCAAAUUACACCCCAUGGCCAUUAAAAGUUAUUCAAAUCAUGACGCUGCACCCCACGGUUUAAGUUCUAGGGGGCGCCAAAGAUAACCCAAAAAUCCACAUUUUUAAAAGUCUUUUAACUUUUUAUUUUUGUCCUCACUGGCCUCCAAGUUUUCUAGGAUGAUGCAAUGUCCAGCCAUCAACACAUUUGUGAAGGAAUUUUUACUCCCUAAAAGAGCGCCCCCCCAUGGCAGGAGAAAAAAGUCCAUUUUUCUUGUCCCCUAAGGUGAAAAUACACAUUGUUGACUGUCACGCCUGUACGCUUUGGCAAAAUGACACAAAAAUUGACAAUCAUGUGUAUCUCAAUUAGAUCUACGAAAAAGUCAAAGAGCGCGUAUCUGUAUAAUGUACGGUAAAAGGGCUAUUUUGCAUUUUUUUCCAAUUCGCACACAUUGGAAUUUCGCUAACUCCUCCUAAGGCUUUCGUCCCACUGACACCAAAUUUGCUCAGGCCAAUCUACACUCCAUGGCCAUUCAAAGUUGUAAAAAUCAUGACGCUGCACCCCACGGUUUACGUUUUAGGGGGCGCCAAAGAUGACCCAAAUAUACAUUACAGUAGACAAAGUAGUUUUGCCCACUGAGUGGCGCCAAAGGGACUUGUCUGUGGAGUCUGUGAGUCACUAUUGGCCGUUUUUGACUACUUUAGAUUUUACCUUUAUAUUUCCUCUGACAAAAUUUUUACCUUGCCUUGCCUGGUAUCAUUUUUUUCAGCACAACCUCACCUGUGUCAAUUUACAGUUAUUUUAUCAUUUUGACAUACUAUAUUUACACAUUGGACCCAAAUUCACACACAAAACAUAAAAUCCGAGUGGAAAAAAGUAACGUUUUUACUGUGAAAACCACAAAUAUGUGUGAUGAACUGUUUUUAAAACUUAAACUUCAAAUAAAAAUUGUAAACUUCAAAACAUAUGCAAAUUUUUAACAAAGAACAUAGUAAUUUACCUCUAUUGACAUCAAAAUGCAGGCAAUGGCCCAGGUGUUCUUUGUAAAAUUAUUUACAAAACACUGUAUAGUCUCACAAAUGUCACUUUUUAUUUAUGCCACUACAAAAAAACAUGAUGUAAAUGAUGCAUGAUGUAAAACAUGAUGUAAAAAACUUGUGUAGAUCCUCCUCUAUGUUAGUCCAUGUGUAAUUUUUCCAUAAUUCUUUGUUUUUUGCAGCAUUUUUGUUAGUGUAACUGCAGAUUGUGCUGACAGUGUCUAUGGCAAAAAAAAAAAAAACUGAAAAUGCCUCAACAUGAACUCCUGGUGGUCUCUGAGGGUGAAACCUGCUAACUGCUGCAGCUCUGUCAGCUUCAGUCUCCCAUGCAGAGCUCGGAGCGCAUGUGUGGCUCUGCACCCUUAGCAGUGUUGCUAACUCCUCAGUAAGGAAAGCCUGCUUCAUGUCAGAGUCUCUAAACUCCAGAAGAAGUCGAUAAAAGUCACUUUCUUUCUAAAAAAGUCGUUAGGGGGUCUGAAAAGUCAUUGAAUCUAACAACAAAGUCGCUAGGUUUGCAACUACGUGUCCCAGACUGCAUCCCUGCUGAGAGUCCCUCCCUCCCUUCUCAUAUUGCAGGAAGAACGUAAGUUCCCGCCCCUUGUCAAUCAGUCACCAUAUAAUUUUGGAUUGGUUGUUGUGGUGAAGUUUUCCACCAAUAGGAGAGAUGUUGUGGUGUGUUUUUUUUUCCUUUGGCAAGCCUUUUCCGCCUGUAAGACCUGUCGCUAAUGUCUGCAUGCUAUGUUUUCCUGUCUCAUACAGCGCGAUCGAGCGCCGAACGUGAUCAAAAUAAGCAGAAAAAAAGUAUCGCGGACAUAAUUUAUCAUAACUCUGGUUUUAUUUGGCCUAUCAACACAAUUUAAAAACUGGUAUAUAGGUUGAGGUCCUCACUUUUGAGAUAAAUUGAAACGGAGAGUCAACGAGGCUCCGUCUUGCAGCUACAUCCGGUUAAAUAUGUCAUGUGACUUGAACGCACACACACACACACACACACACACACACACACAGACACACACACACACGCACACACACACACACUCAGAGUCUGGUUUUUAGCACCUGCAAAAACAUGCUAUUUACAUAUUUGACAAGAAUGCAGAGGCUCCUUUUGCCCCUGAAAAAAAUCAAAUUUCAAACACAACUUGACUGGUCAUUUCUCCAAAAGACAACCAUGAAGCUCCAUCCAAACCUGAAGCAGGCAGUUGGUGCAUGUGUACAGUAACCUGAGGGGAGUGAGGUGACUGCUUCUGAGGAGAACAUGAGCAGUGAAGAUUCACCUUAGAGCUAGAACAGAGACGUGCACAUGAUUAUACAGGGGCAGGGGCUCAAGUUUUUUCCAGUUGUUUAUACAAUAUGGAAAUUAAUGUGAAAUUAAAAAACAAAGUAUUAAUAGAAAGGUAAUGACUGUCCUGUGUAGGUGACAGUGAUAUCCAAUAGGCUAGGCACUCACGAGGCUGGCUGUGGCAAGUGUAAGUGAAAGCAACACGCACUGGCAGGAAGAACAGCAAACGCCGAUGAAGGAAAAGGGUCUUUGCAGUGAUGGGCGUUACCAGAGAGGGCGACGGCCAGAGGACGCGAAUGGGACGGGGAGGCAGCGCGUUGGGGGGGGGACGCGACACAGCUCGGGCCCGCCAGUGCCCCAACGGGGUCCUAGUUAGGGCCCGAGCCAGCUGCAGAGCAGCCGGGCGUAGGCCCUAUUAUUCCCCAAGUGGUUUUUCUUUGUUUCUUUCUUUCUUUCUUUCUUUCUUCUUUUUCCUCCCCUUUGAACUGGAAAAUGGCCCACUUCCCACUGGCGAAAACUCAUGAAAUUUGGCAGGACGACCGGGCCUGGUGAAAAAUUUGAUAUUCUGAAGUCGCCCAAACAUUAAAAUGCAAAAUGGCUCCAUAGCGCCCCCUAAGGUGGAAAUUCACACUAUUGACUGUCACGCCUGUACGCUUUGUCAUAUUGACACAAAAAUUGACACACAUAUGUAUCUCAAUAAGAUCUACAAAAAAGUCAGUGCGGCCGUAUCUGUCAAAAUUACGGUUAAAGGGUUAUUUCGCAUUUUUUGCCGAUCCGCACACAUUGGAAUUUCGCUAACUCCUCCGAAGGCUUUCGUUCCACCAGCACCACAUUUGCUCAGGCCAAUCUACACCCCGUGGCCAUUAAAAGUUAUCAAAAUCAUGACGCUGCACCCCAAGGUUUAGGUUCUAGGGGGCGCCAAAGAUAACACUAAAAUCCACAUAUUUAAAAGUCUUAUAACUUUUUAUUUUUGUCCUCACUGGCCUCCAAGUUUUCUAGGAUGAUGCAAUGUCCAGCCAUCAACACAUUUGUGAAGGAAUUUUUACUCCCCAAAAGAGCGCCCCCCCAUGGCAGGAGAAAAAAGUCCAUUUUUUCUUGUCCCCUAAGGUGAAAAUACACAUUGUUGAGUGUCACGCCUAUACGCUUUGUCAAAAUGACACAAAAAUUGACACACACAUGUAACUCAAUAAGAUCUACAAAAAAGUCCAUGCGCGCGUAUCUGUCAAAUGUACAGUUAAAGGGUUAUUCCGCAUUUUUUGCCGAUACGCACACAUUGGAAUUUCGCUAACUCCUCCGAAGGCUUUCGUUCCACCGGCACCACAUUUGCUCAGGCCAAUCUACACCCCAUGGCCAUUAAAAGUUAUUCAAAUCAUGAUGCUGCACCCCACGGUUUAGGUUCUAGGGGGCGCCAAAGAUAACCCAAAAAUCCACAUUCUUAAAUGUUUUAUAACUUUUUAUUUUUGUCCUCACUGGCCUCCAAGUUUUCUAGGAUGAUGCAAUGUCCAGCCAUCAACACAUUUGUGAAGGAAUUUUUACUCCCCAAAAGAGCGCCCCCCCAUGGUAGGAGAAAAAAGUCAAUUUUUUCUUGUCCCCUUACAUAAAAAUACACAUUGUUGAGUGUCACGCCUGAACGCUUUGUCAUAUUGACACAAAAAUUGACAAUCAUGUGUAUCUCAAUUAGAUCUACGAAAAAGUCAAAGAGCGCGUAUCUGUAUAAUGUACGGUUAAAGGGCUAUUUUGCAUUUUUUGCCGAUUCGCACACAUUGGAAUGUGGCUAUCUCCUCCUAAGGCUUUCGUCCCACCGAUACCAAAUUUGCUCAGGGCAAUCUACACCCCAUGCCCAUUCAAAGUUGUAAAAAUCAUGACGCUGCACCCCACGGUUUACGUUCUAGGGGGCGCCAAAGAUGACCCAAAAAUCCACAUUCUUAAAAGUCAUUUUGGCCACUGCAGGAGUACAGAGUACUGCAGUUCUAGGGGGCGCCAAAGAUGACCCAAAAAUCCACAUUCUUAAAAGUCUUUUUGGCCACUGCAGGAGUACAGAGUACUGCAGGAUACACACACAUAUACACACACGCCAACAUACACACACACACACACACACACACACACACACACACAGACACACACACACACUCAGAGUCUGUUUUUUAGCACCUGCAAAAACAUGCUGUUUACAUAUUUGACAAGAAUGCAGAGGCUUCCUUUUGCCCCUGAAAAAAAUCAAAUUUCAAACACAACUUGACUGUUCAUUUCUCCAAAAGACAACCAUGAAGCUCCAUUUCAAACCUGAAGCAGAUAGUUGGUGCAUGUGUACAGUAACCUGAGGGGAGUGAGGUGACUAUUUCUGAGGAGAACAUGAGCAGUGAAGAUUCACCUUGGAGCUAGAACAGGGACGUGCACAUGAUUAUACAGGGGCAGGGGCUCAAGAUUUUUCCAGUCAUUUAUACAAUAUGGAAAUUAAUGUGAAAUUAAACCACAAAUAUGUGUGAUGAACUGUUUUUAAAACUUAAACUUCAAAUAAAAAUUGUAAACUUCAAAACAUAUGCAAAUUUUUAACAAAGAACAUAGUAAUUUACCUCUAUUUACAUCAAAAUGCAGGCAAUGGCCCAGGCGUUCUUUGUAAAAUUAUUUACAAAACACUGUAUAGUCUCACAAAUGUCACUUUUUAUUUAUGCCACUACAAAAAAACAUGAUGUAAAUGAUGCAUGAUGUAAAACAUGAUGUAAAAAACUUGUGUAGAUCCUCCUCUAUGUCAGUCCAUGUGUAAUUUUUCCAUAAUUAUUUGUUUUUUGCAGCAUUUUUGUUAGUGUAACUGCAGAUUGUGCUGACAGUGUCUAUGGCACAAAAAAAAAAAAAAUUAAAAUGCCUCAACAUGAACCCCUGGUGGUCUCUGAGGGUGAAACCUGCUAACUGCUGCAGCUCUGUCAGCUUCAGUCUCCCAUGCAGAGCUCUGAGCGCAUGUGUGGCUCUGCACCCUUAGCAGCGUUGCUAACUCCUCAGUAAGGAAAGCCUGCUUCAUGUCAGAGUCUCUAAACUCCAGAAGAAGUCGAUAAAAGUCCCUUUCUUUCUAAAAAAAGUCGUUAGGGUGUCUGAAAAGUCAUUGAAUCUAACAACAAAGUCGCUAGGUUUGCAACUACGUGUCCCAGACUGCAUCCCUGCUGAGAGUCCCUCCCUCCCUUCUCAUGUUGCAGGAAGAACGUAAGCGCCCGCCCCUUGUCAAUCAGUCACCAUAUAAUUUUGGAUUGGUUGUUGUGGUGAAGUUUUCCACCAAUAGGAGAGAUGUUGUGGUGUGUUUUUUUUUUCUUUUGGCAAGCCUUUUCCGCCUGUAAGACCUGUCGCUAAUGUCUGCAUGCUAUGUUUUCCUGUCUCAUACAGCGCGAUCGAGCGCCGAACGUGAUCAAAAUAAGCAGAAAAAAAGUAUCGCGGACAUAAUUUAUCAUAACUCUGGUUUUAUUUGGCCUAUCAACACAAUUUAAAAACUGGUAUAUAGGUUGAGGUCCUCACUUUUGAGAUAAGUUGAAACGGAGAGUCAACGAGGCUCCGUCUUGCAGCUACAUCCGGUUAAAUAUGUCAUGUGACUUGAACGCACACAUAGACACACACACACGCACACACACACACACACACACACACACACACACACACACACACACACACACACACACUCAGAGUCUGGUUUUUAGCACCUGCAAAAACAUGCUAUUUACAUAUUUGACAAGAAUGCAGAGGCUCCUUUUGCCCCUGAAAAAAAUCAAAUUUCAAACACAACUUGACUGGUCAUUUCUCCAAAAGACAACCAUGAAGCUCCAUCCAAACCUGAAGCAGGCAGUUGGUGCAUGUGUACAGUAACCUGAGGGGAGUGAGGUGAGUGCUUCUGAGGAGAACAUGAGCAGUGAAGAUUCACCUUGGAGCUAGAACAGAGACAUGCACAUGAUUAUACAGGGGCAGGGGCUCAAGUUUUUUCCAGUCGUUUAUACAAUAUGGAAAUUAAUGUGAAAUUAAAACACAAAGUAUUAAUAGAAAGGUAAUGACUGUCCUGUGUAGGUGACAGUGAUAUCCAAUAGGCUAGGCACUCACGAGGCUGGCUGUGGCAAGUGUAAGUGAAAGCAACACGCACUGGCAGGAAGAACAGCAAACGCCGAUGAAGGAAAAGGGUCUUUGCAGUGAUGGGCGUUAACAGAGAGGGCGAUGGCCAGAGGACACAAAUGGGACGGGGAGGCAGCACGUUGGGGGGUGGGGGGUGGGGGGGGGAGACGCGACACGGCUCGGGCCCGCCAGUGCCCCAACGGGGUCCUAGUUAUUAUUUUUCCUCCCCUUUGAACUGGAAAAUGGCCCACUUCCCACUGGCGAAAACUCAUGAAAUUUGGCAGGACGACCGGGCCUGGUGAAAAAUUUGAUAUUCCGAAGUCGCCCAAACAAGAAAAUGCAAAAUGGCUCCAUAGCGCCCCCUAAGGUGAAAAUUCACACUAUUCACUGUCACGCCUGUACGCUUUGUCAAAAUGACACAAAAAUUGACACACACAUGUAUCUCAAUAAGAUCUACAAAAAAGUCAGUGCGGGCGUAUCUGUCAAAUGUACGGUUAAAGGGUUAUUUCGCAUUUUUUGCCGAUCCGCACACAUUGGAAUUUCGCUAACUCCUCCGAAGGCUUUCGUUCCACCGGCACCACAUUUGCUCAGGCCAAUCUACACCCCAUGGCCAUUAAAAGUUAUUCAAAUCAUGACGCUGCACCCCACGGUUUAGGUUCUAGGGGGCGCCAAAGAUAACCCUAAGAUCCACAUAUUUAAAAGUCUUAUAACUUUUUAUUUUUGCCCUCACUGGCCUCCAAGUUUUCUAGGAUGAUGCAAUGUCCAGCCAUCAACACAUUUGUGAAGGAAUUUUUACUCCCCAAAAGAGCGCCCCCCCAUGGCAGGAGAAAAAAGUCCAUUUUUUCUUGUCCCCUAAGGUGAAAAUACACAUUGUUGAGUGUAACACCUGUACGCUUUGGCAAAAUGACACAAAAAUUGACACACACAUGUAUCUCAAUAAGAUCUACGAAAAAGUCAAUGCGCGCGUAUCUGUCAAAUGUACGGUUAAAGGGUUAUUCCGCAUUUUUUGCCGAUCCGCACACAUUGGAAUUUCGCUAACUCCUCCGAAGGCUUUCGUUCCACCGGCACCACAUUUGCUCAGGCCAAUCUACACCCCAUGGCCAUUAAAAGUUAUUCAAAUCAUGACGCUGCACCCCACGGUUUAGGUUCUAGGGGGAGCCAAAGAUAACCGUAAAAUCCACAUAUUUAAAAGUCUUAUAACUUUUUAUUUUUGUCCCCACUGGCCUCCAAGUUUUCUAGGAUGAUGCAAUGUCCAGCCAUCAACACAUUUGUGAAGGAAUUUUUACUCGCCAAAAGAGCGCCCCCCAUGGCAGGAGAAGAAAGUCAAUUUUUUCUUGUCCACUAAGGUGAAAAUACACAUUGUUGAGUGCUACGCCUGUAUGUUUUGUCGUAUUGACACAAAAUUUUACAUACACGUGUAUUUCAAUAAGAUCUUCGAAAAAGUCAAUGGCCACGUAUCUGUAAAAUGUACGGUUAAAGGGUUAUUUCGCAUUUUUUGCAGAUUGGCACACAUUGGAAUUUCGCUAAUUCCUCCGAAGGCUUUCGUUCCACCGGCACCACAUUUGCUCAGGCCAAUCUACACCCCAUGGCCAUUAAAAGUUAUUCAAAUCAUGACGCUGCACCCCACGGUUUAGGUUCUAGGGGGCGCCAAAUAUAACCCUAAAAUCCACAUAUUUAAAAGUCUUAUAACUUUUUAUUUUUGUCCUCACUGGCCUCCAUGUUUUCUAGGAUGAUGCAAUGUCCAGCCAUCAACACAUUUGUGAAGGAGUUUUUUCUCUUUAAAAGAGCGCCCCCCAUGGCAGGAGAAUAAAGUCAAGUUUUUCCUGUUCAUCAUUCAAUGGCUCAAACGCACUGCUCUCUCGGCAAAAGCGAAAGGAGGAGCAACUUGCCAUUUGGAUAUAUCUUAGCUGUGUUUGUGCCCUCACUCAUGGUCCAGACUUUUUUCAAAUAGGACAUGGAGUUUUUCUGCAGCGAGCGUUUUGGUAGAAACUGCGCCUCCCGUUCAUUAUAAUGGUAAAUGACCACAAACAAGUGCGCACACCAUCUUUGGACCUUGAGUGUGACGCGAUCGGGUGGGGGAGGCGGUCGCGCUGGGGGCGGCGUGACACGGCUCGGGCCCGCCAGUGCCCCAACGGGGCCCUAGUUCUUCUUUUUCCUCCCCUUUGAACUGGAAAAUGGCCCACUUCCCACUGGCGAAAACUCAUGAAAUUUGGCAGGACGACCGGGCCUGGUGAAAAAUUCGAUAUUCUGAAGUCGCCCAAACAAUAAAAUUCAAAAUGGCUCCAUAGCGCCCCCUAAGGUGGAAAUUCACACUAUUGACUGUCACGCCUGUACGCUUUGUCAUAUUGACACAAAAAUUGACACACAUAUGUAUCUCAAUAAGAUCUACAAAAAAGUCAGUGCGGCCGUAUCUGUCAAAAUUACGGUUAAAGGGUUAUUUCGCAUUUUUUGCCGAUCCGCACACAUUGGAAUUUCGCUAACUCCUCCGAAGGCUUUCGUUCCACCGGCACCACAUUUGCUCAGGCCAAUCUACACCCCGUGGCCAUUAAAAGUUAUCAAAAUCAUGACGCUGCACCCCAAGGUUUAGGUUCUAGGGGGCGCCAAAGAUAACACUAAAAUCCACAUAUUUAAAAGUCUUAUAACUUUUUAUUUUUGUCCUCACUGGCCUCCAAGUUUUCUAGGAUGAUGCAAUGUCCAGCCAUCAACACAUUUGUGAAGGAAUUUUUACUCCCCAAAAGAGCGCCCCCCCAUGGCAGGAGAAAAAAGUCCAUUUUUUCUUGUCACCUAAGGUGAAAAUACACAUUGUUGAGUGUAACACCUGUACGCUUUGGCAAAAUGACACAAAAAUUGACACACACAUGUAUCUCAAUAAGAUCUACGAAAAAGUCAAUGCGCGCGUAUCUGUCAAAUGUACGGUUAAAGGGUUAUUCCGCAUUUUUUGCCGAUCCGCACACAUUGGAAUUUCGCUAACUCCUCCGAAGGCUUUCGUUCCACCGGCACCACAUUUGCUCAGGCCAAUCUACACCCCAUGGCCAUUAAAAGUUAUUCAAAUCAUGACGCUGCAUCCCACGGUUUAGGUUCUAGGGGGCGCCAAAGAUAACCCUAAAAUCCACAUAUUUAAAAGUCUUAUAACUUUUUAUUUUUGUCCUCACUGGCCUCCAAGUUUUCUAGGAUGAUGCAAUGUCCAGCCAUCAACACAUUUGUGAAGGAAUUUUUACUCCCCAAAAGAGCGCCCCCCCAUGGCAGGAGAAAAAAGUCAAUUUUUUCUUGUCCCCUAAGGUGGAAAUUCACACUAUUGACUGUCACGCCUGUACGCUUUAUCAUAUUGACACAAAAAUUGACACACAUAUGUAUCUCAAUAAGAUCUACAAAAAAGUCAAUUCGCGCGUAUCUGUCAAAUGUACGGUUAAAGGGCUAUUUUUCAUUUUUUGCCGAUUCGCACACAUUGGAAUGUGGCUAACUCCUCCUAAGGCUUUCGUCCCACUGACACCAAAUUUGCUCAGGCCAAUCUACACCCCAUGGCCAUUCAAAGUUGUAAAAAUCAUGACGCUGCACCCCACGGUUUAGGUUCUAGGGGGCGCCAAAGAGGACCCAAAAAUCCACAUUCUUAAAAGAAUCCACAUCCCCCCCCCUAUGGCAGGAGAAAAAGUCAAGUUUUUCCUGCCCAUCGCUCAAUGGCUCAAUCGCAUCGCUCUCCAGGCAACACCGUAAGGAGGAGCAACCUGGCAUUUCGAUAUAUCAUAGCUGUGUUUGUGCCCUCACUCAUGGUCCAGACUUUUUUCAAAUAGGACAUGAAGUUUGUCUGCAGCGAGUGUUUUGGUAGAAACUGCGCCUCCCAUUCAUUAUAAUGGGAAAUGACCACAGACAAGUGCGCACACCAUCUUUGGUUCUUGAGUGUGACGCGAUCGGGACGGGGAGGCGGUCGCACUGGGGGCGGCGCGACGCGGCUCGGGCCCGACAGUGCCCCACCGGGGCCCUAGUUCUUUCUUUCUUUCUUCUUUUUCCUCCCCUUUGAACUGGAAAAUGGCCCACUUCCCACUGGCGAAAACUCAUGAAAUUUGGCAGGACGACCGGGCCUGGUGAAAAAUUCGAUAUUCUGAAGUCGCCCAAACAAUAAAAUGCAAAAUGGCUCCAUAGCGCCCCCUAAGGUGGAAAUUCACACUAUUGACUGUCACGCCUGUACGCUUUGUCAUAUUGACACAAAAAUUGACACACAUAUGUAUCUCAAUAAGAUCUACAAAAAAGUCAGUGCGGCCGUAUCUGUCAAAAUUACGGUUAAAGGGUUAUUUCGCAUUUUUUGCCGAUCUGCACACAUUGGAAUUUCGCUAACUCCUCCGAAGGCUUUCGUUCCACCGGCACCACAUUUGCUCAGGCCAAUCUACACCCCGUGGCCAUUAAAAGUUAUCAAAAUCAUGACGCUGCACCCCAAGGUUUAGGUUCUAGGGGGCGCCAAAGAUAACACUAAAAUCCACAUAUUUAAAAGUCUUAUAACUUUUUAUUUUUGUCCUCACUGGCCUCCAAGUUUUCUAGGAUGAUGCAAUGUCCAGCCAUCAACACAUUUGUGAAGGAAUUUUUACUCCCCAAAAGAGCGCCCCCCCAUGGCAGGAGAAAAAAGUCCAUUUUUUCUUGUCCCCUAAGGUGAAAAUACACAUUGUUGAGUGUCACGCCUAUACGCUUUGUCAAAAUGACACAAAAAUUGACACACACAUGUAACUCAAUAAGAUCUACGAAAAAGUCAAUGCGCGCGUAUCUGUCAAAUGUACGGUUAAAGGGUUAUUUCGCAUUUUUUGCCGAUCCGCACACAUUGGAAUUUCGCUAACUCCUCCGAAGGCUUUCGUUCCACCGGCACCACAUUUGCUCAGGCCAAUCUACACCCCGUGGCCAUUAAAAGUUAUCAAAAUCAUGACGCUGCACCCCACGGUUUACGUUCUAGGGGGCGCCAAAGAUAACCCUAAAAUCCACAUAUUUAAAAGUCUUAUAACUUUUUAUUUUUGUCCUCACUGGCCUCCAAGUUUUCUAGGAUGAUGCAAUGUCCAGCCAUCAACACAUUUGUGAAGGAAUUUUUACUCCCCAAAAGAGCGCCCCCCCAUGGCAGGAGAAAAAAGUCCAUUUUUUCUUGUCCCCUAAGGUGAAAAUACAUAUUGUUGAGAUUCACGCCUAUACGCUUUGUCAUAUUGACACAAAAUUUGACAAUCACAUGUAUCUCAAUCAGAUCUACGAAAAAGUCUAUGCGCGCGUAUCUGUAAAAUGUACGGUUAAAGGGCUAUUUUGCAUUUUUUGCCGAUUCGCACACAUUGGAAUGUGGCUAACUCCUCCUAAGGCUUUCGUCCCACUGACACCAAAUUUGCUCAGGCCAAUCUACACCCCAUGGCCAUUCAAAGUUGUAAAAAUCAUGACGCUGCACCCCACGGUUUACGUUCUAGGGGGCGCCAAAGAUGACCCAAAUAUCCACAUUCUUAAAAGAAUCCACAUCCCCCCCAUCCCCCAUCCCCCAUGGCAGGAGAAACAGUCAAGUUUUUCCUGCCCAUCACUCAAUGGCUCAUUCGCAUCACUCUCCCGGCAACACCGUAACGAGGAGCAACUUGCCGUUUGGAUAUAUCCUAGCUGUGUUUGUGCCCUCACUCAUGGUCCAGACUUUUUUCAAAUAGGACAUGUAGUUUGUCUGCAGCGAGUGUUUUGGUAGAAACUGCGCCUCCCAUUCAUUAUAAUGGGAAAUGACCACAGACAAGUGCGCACACCAUCUUUGGACCUUGAGUGUGACGCGAUCGGGAGGGGUAGGCGGUCGCGCUGGGGGCGGCGCAACGCGGCUCGGGCCCGACAGUGCCCCACCGGGGUCCUAGUUAGGGCCCGAGCGUAGCUGCUAAGCAGCUGCGAGAGCCCUAUUAUUCCCCAAGGGGUUUUUAGGGCCCGAGCGUAGCUGCUAAGCAGCUGCAAGAGCCCUCUUGUUCCUGUAGUUUCCUUCUUUAGGGCCCGAGCGUAGCUGCUAAGCAGCUGCGAGAGCCCUAUUAUUCCUGAUGGAUUCUUCUUUCUUCUUCUUCUUCUUCUUAUUAUUUUUCUGCCCCUUUGAACUGGAAAAUGGCCCACUUCCCACUGGUGAAAAGUCAUGAAAUUUGGCAGGACGACCGGGCCUGGUGAAAAAUUCGAUAUUCUGAAGUCGCCCAAAAAAUCAAAUGCAAAAUGGCUCCAUAGCGCCCCCUAAGGUGAAAAAUUCACAUGAUUGAGUGUCACGCCUGUACGCUUUGUCAAAAUGACACAAAAUUUGACACACACGUGUAUCUCAAUAAGAUCUACAAAAAAGUCAGUGCGGGCGUAUCUGUCAAAUGUACGGUUAAAGGGCUAUUUCGCAUUUUUUGCCGAUCCGCACACAUUGGAAUUUCGCUAACUCCUCCGAAGGCUUUCGUUCCACCGGCACCAAAUUUGCUCAGGCCAAUCUACACCCCAUGGCCAUUAAAAGUUGUACAAAUCAUGACGCUGCAUCCCACGGUUUACGUUCUAGGGGGCGCCAAAGAUAACCCAGAAAUCCACAUUCUUAAAAGUCGUAUAACUUUUUAUUUUUGUCCUCACUGGCCUCCAAGUUUUCUAGGAUGAUGCAAUGUCCAGCCAUCAACACAUUUGUGAAGGAAUUUUUACUCCCCAAAAGAGCGCCCCCCCAUGGCAGGAGAAAAAAGUCCAUUUUUUCUUGUCUCCUAAGGCGAAAAUUCACACUAUUGACUGUCACGCCUUUACGCUUUGUCAUAUUGACACAAAAAAUGACACACACAUGUAUCUCAAUAAGAUCUACAAAAAAGUCAGUGCGGGCGUAUCUGUCAAAUGUACGGUGAAAGGGCUAUUUCGCAUUUUUUGCCGAUCCGCACACAUUGGAAUUUCGCUAACUCCUCCGAAGGCUUUCGUUCCAAAGGCACCACAUUUGCUCAGGCCAAUCUACACCCCAUGGCCAUUAAAAGUUGUACAAAUCAUGACGCUGCACCCCACGGUUUACGUUCUAGGGGGCGCCAAAGAUAACCCAAAAAUCCACAGUCUUAAAAGUCUUAUAACUUUUUAUUUUUGUCCUCACUGGCCUCCAAGUUCUCUAGGAUGAUGCAAUGUCCAGCCAUCAACACAUUUGUGAAGGAAUUUUUACUCGCCAAAAGAGCGCCCCCCCAUGGCAGGAGAAAAAAGUCCAUUUUUUCUUGUCUCCUAAGGCGAAAAUACACAUUGUUGACUGUCACGCCUUUACGCUUUGUCAAAAUGACACAAAAUUUGACACACACAUGUAUCUCAAUAAGAUCUACAAAAAAGUCAGUGCGGGCGUAUCUGUCAAAUGUACGGUUAAAGGGUUAUUUCGCAUUUUUUGCCGAUCCGCACACAUUGGAAUUUCGCUAACUCCUCCUAAAUCUUUUGUCCCAUCGGCUUCAAAUUUGCUCAGGUCAAUCUACACCCCAUGGCCAUUCAAAAUUGUACAAAUCAUGACGCUGCACCCCACAGUUUACGUUCUAGGGGGCGCCAAAGAGGACCCAAAUAUCCACAUUUUUAAAAGUCUUAUAACUUUUUAUUUUUGUCCUCACUGGCCUCCAAGUUUUCUAGGAUGAUGCAAUGUCCAGCCAUCAACACAUUUGUGAAGGAAUUUUUUCUCCCCAAAAGAGGGCCCCCCCAUGGCAGGAGAAAAAGUCAAGUUUUUCCUGCCCAUCGCUCAAUGGCUCAAACGCAUCGCUCUCUCUGCAAAACCGAAAGGAGGAGCAACUUGCCAUUUGGAUAUAUACUAGCUGUGUUUGUGCCCUCACUCAUGGUCCAGACUUUUUUCAAAUAGGACAUGUAGUUUGUCUGCAGCGAGCGUUUUGGUAGAAACUGCGCCUCCCAUUCAUUAUAAUGGGAAAUGACCACAGACAAGUGCGCACACCAUCUUUGGACCUUGAGUGUGACGCGAUCGGGAGGGGGAGGCGGUCGCGCUGGGGGCGGCGCGACGCGGCUCGGGCCCGACAGUGCCCCACCGGGGCCCUAGUUCUUCUUCUUCUUCUUCUUAUUAUUUUUCUGCCCCUUUGAACUGGAAAAUGGCCCACUUCCCACUGGUGAAAAGUCAUGAAAUUUGGCAGGACGACCGGGCCUGGUGAAAAAUUCGAUAUUCUGAAGUCGCCCAAAAAAUCAAAUGCAAAAUGGCUCCAUAGCGCCCCCUAAGGUGAAAAAUUCACAUGAUUGAGUGUCACGCCUGUACGCUUUGUCAAAAUGACACAAAAUUUGACACACACGUGUAUCUCAAUAAGAUCUACAAAAAAGUCAGUGCGGCCGUAUCUGUCAAAUGUACGGUUAAAGGGCUAUUUCGCAUUUUUUGCCGAUCCGCACACAUUGGAAUUUCGCUAACUCCUCCGAAGGCUUUCGUUCCACCGGCACCAAAUUUGCUCAGGCCAAUCUACACCCCAUGGCCAUUAAAAGUUGUACAAAUCAUGACGCUGCAUCCCACGGUUUACGUUCUAGGGGGCGCCAAAGAUAACCCAGAAAUCCACAUUCUUAAAAGUCGUAUAACUUUUUAUUUUUGUCCUCACUGGCCUCCAAGUUUUCUAGGAUGAUGCAAUGUCCAGCCAUCAACACAUUUGUGAAGGAAUUUUUACUCCCCAAAAGAGCGCCCCCCCAUGGCAGGAGAAAAAAGUCCAUUUUUUCUUGUCUCCUAAGGCGAAAAUUCACACUAUUGACUGUCACGCCUUUACGCUUUGUCAUAUUGACACAAAAAUUGACACACACAUGUAUCUCAAUAAGAUCUACAAAAAAGUCAGUGCGGGCGUAUCUGUCAAAUGUACGGUGAAAGGGCUAUUUCGCAUUUUUUGCCGAUCCGCACACAUUGGAAUUUCGCUAACUCCUCUGAAGGCUUUCGUUCCAAAGGCACCACAUUUGCUGAGGCCAAUCUACACCCCAUGGCCAUUAAAAGUUGUACAAAUCAUGAUGCUGCACCCCACGGUUUACGUUCUAGGGGGCGCCAAAGAUAACCCAAAAAUCCACAGUCUUAAAAGUCUUAUAACUUUUUAUUUUUGUCCUCACUGGCCUCCAAGUUCUCUAGGAUGAUGCAAUGUCCAGCCAUCAACACAUUUGUGAAGGAAUUUUUACUCGCCAAAAGAGCGCCCCCCAUGGCAGGAGAAAAAAGUCCAUUUUUUCUUGUCUCCUAAGGCGAAAAUACACAUUGUUGACUGUCACGCCUUUACGCUUUGUCAAAAUGACACAAAAUUUGACACACACAUGUAUCUCAAUAAGAUCUACAAAAAAGUCAGUGCGGGCGUAUCUGUCAAAUGUACGGUUAAAGGGUUAUUUCGCAUUUUUUGCCGAUCCGCACACAUUGGAAUUUCGCUAACUCCUCCUAAAUCUUUUGUCCCAUCGGCUUCAAAUUUGCUCAGGUCAAUCUACACCCCAUGGCCAUUCAAAGUUGUACAAAUCAUGACGCUGCACCCCACAGUUUACGUUCUAGGGGGCGCCAAAGAGGACCCAAAUAUCCACAUUUUUAAAAGUCUUAUAACUUUUUAUUUUUGUCCUCACUGGCCUCCAAGUUUUCUAGGAUGAUGCAAUGUCCAGCCAUCAACACAUUUGUGAAGGAAUUUUUUCUCCCCAAAAGAGCGCCCCCCCAUGGCAGGAGAAAAAGUCAAGUUUUUCCUGCCCAUCGCUCAAUGGCUCAAACGCAUCGCUCUCUCUGCAAAACCGAAAGGAGGAGCAACUUGCCAUUUGGAUAUAUACUAGCUGUGUUUGUGCCCUCACUCAUGGUCCAGACUUUUUUCAAAUAGGACAUGUAGUUUGUCUGCAGGAAGCGUUUUGGUAGAAACUGCGCCUCCCAUUCAUUAUAAUGGGAAAUGACCACAGACAAGUGCGCACACCAUCUUUGGACCUUGAGUGUGACGCAAUCGGGAGGGGGAGGCGGUCGCGCUGGGGGCGGCGCGACGCGGCUCGGGCCCGACAGUGCCCCACCGGGGCCCUAGUUUGUUAUUAUUAUUAUUAUUUUUCCUCCCCUUUGAACUGGAAAAUGGCCCACUUCCCACUGGCGAAAACUCAUGAAAUUUGGCAGGACGACCGGGCCUGGUGAAAAAUUUGAUAUUCCGAAGUCGCCCAAACAAGAAAAUGCAAAAUGGCUCCAUAGCGCCCCCUAAGGUGAAAAUUCACACUAUUCACUGUCACGCCGGUACGCUUUGUCAAAAUGACACAAAAAUUGACACACACAUGUAUCUCAAUAAGAUCUACAAAAAAGUCAGUGCGGGCGUAUCUGUCAAAUGUACGGUUAAAGGGUUAUUUCGCAUUUUUUGCCGAUCCGCACACAUUGGAAUUUCGCUAACUCCUCCGAAGGCUUUCGUUCCACCGGCACCACAUUUGCUCAGGCCAAUCUACACCCCAUGGCCAUUAAAAGUUAUUCAAAUCAUGACGCUGCACCCCACGGUUUAGGUUCUAGGGGGCGCCAAAGAUAACCCUAAGAUCCACAUAUUUAAAAGUCUUAUAACUUUUUAUUUUUGCCCUCACUGGCCUCCAAGUUUUCUAGGAUGAUGCAAUGUCCAGCCAUCAACACAUUUGUGAAGGAAUUUUUACUCCCCAAAAGAGCGCCCCCCAUGGCAGGAGAAAAAAGUCCAUUUUUUCUUGUCCCCUAAGGUGAAAAUACACAUUGUUGAGUGUAACACCUGUACGCUUUGGCAAAAUGACACAAAAAUUGACACACACAUGUAUCUCAAUAAGAUCUACGAAAAAGUCAAUGCGCGCGUAUCUGUCAAAUGUACGGUUAAAGGGUUAUUCCGCAUUUUUUGCCGAUCCGCACACAUUGGAAUUUCGCUAACUCCUCCGAAGGCUUUCGUUCCACCGGCACCACAUUUGCUCAGGCCAAUCUACACCCCAUGGCCAUUAAAAGUUAUUCAAAUCAUGACGCUGCACCCCACGGUUUAGGUUCUAGGGGGCGCCAAAGAUAACUGUAAAAUCCACAUAUUUAAAAGUCUUAUAACUUUUUAUUUUUGUCCCCACUGGCCUCCAAGUUUUCUAGGAUGAUGCAAUGUCCAGCCAUCAACACAUUUGUGAAGGAAUUUUUACUCGCCAAAAGAGCGCCCCCCAUGGCAGGAGAAAAAAGUCCAUUUUUUCUUGUCCACUAAGGUGAAAAUACACAUUGUUGAGUGCUACGCCUGUAUGUUUUGUCGUAUUGACACAAAAUUUUACAUACACGUGUAUUUCAAUAAGAUCUUCGAAAAAGUCAAUGGCCACGUAUCUGUAAAAUGUACGGUUAAAGGGUUAUUUCGCAUUUUUUGCAGAUUCGCACACAUUGGAAUUUCGCUAACUCCUCCGAAGGCUUUCGUUCCACCGGCACCACAUUUGCUCAGGCCAAUCUACACCCCAUGGCCAUUAAAAGUUAUUCAAAUCAUGACGCUGCACCCCACGGUUUAGGUUCUAGGGGGCGCCAAAGAUAACCCUAAAAUCCACAUAUUUAAAAGUCUUAUAACUUUUUAUUUUUGUCCUCACUGGCCUCCAUGUUUUCUAGGAUGAUGCAAUGUCCAGCCAUCAACACAUUUGUGAAGGAGUUUUUUCUCUUUAAAAGAGCGCCCCCCAUGGCAGGAGAAUAAAGUCAAGUUUUUCCUGUUCAUCAUUCAAUGGCUCAAACGCACUGCUCUCUCGGCAAAAGCGAAAGGAGGAGCAACUUGCCAUUUGGAUAUAUCUUAGCUGUGUUUGUGCCCUCACUCAUGGUCCAGACUUUUUUCAAAUAGGACAUGGAGUUUUUCUGCAGCGAGCGUUUUGGUAGAAACUGCGCCUCCCGUUCAUUAUAAUGGUAAAUGACCACAAACAAGUGCGCACACCAUCUUUGGACCUUGAGUGUGACGCGAUCGGGUGGGGGAGGCGGUCGCGCUGGGGGCAGCGUGACACGGCUCGGGCCCGCCAGUGGCCCAACGGGGCCCUAGUUCUUUGUUUCUUUCUUUCUUUCUUUCUUCUUUUUCCUCCCCUUUGAACUGGAAAAUGGCCCACUUCCCACUGGCGAAAACUCAGGAAAUUUGGCAGGACGACCGGGCCUGGUGAAAAAUUCGAUAUUCUGAAGUCGCCCAAACAAUAAAAUGCAAAAUGGCUCCAUAGCGCCCCCUAAGGUGGAAAUUCACACUAUUGACUGUCACGCCUGUACGCUUUGUCAUAUUGACACAAAAAUUGACACACAUAUGUAUCUCAAUAAGAUCUACAAAAAAGUCAGUGCGGCCGUAUCUGUCAAAUGUACGGUUAAAGGGUUAUUUUGCAUUUUUUUCCGAUCCGCACACAUUGGAAUUUCGCUAACUCCUCCGAAGGCUUUCGUUCCACCGGCACCACAUUUGCUCAGGCCAAUCUACACCCCGUGGCCAUUAAAAGUUAUCAAAAUCAUGACGCUGCACCCCAAGGUUUAGGUUCUAGGGGGCGCCAAAGAUAACACUAAAAUCCACAUAUUUAAAAGUCUUAUAACUUUUUAUUUUUGUCCUCACUGGCCUCCAAGUUUUCUAGGAUGAUGCAAUGUCCAGCCAUCAACACAUUUGUGAAGGAAUUUUUACUCCCCAAAAGAGCGCCCCCCAUGGCAGGAGAAAAAAGUCCAUUUUUUCUUGUCCCCUAAGGUGAAAAUACACAUUGUUGACUGUCACGCCUUUACGCUUUGUCAAAAUGACACAAAAAUUGACACACACAUGUAACUCAAUAAGAUCUACGAAAAAGUCAACGCGCGCGUAUCUGUCAAAUGUACGGUUAAAGGGUUAUUCCGCAUUUUUUGCCGAUCCGCACACAUUGGAAUUUCGCUAACUCCUCCGAAGGCUUUCUGUCCACCGGCACCACAUUUGCUCAGGCCAAUCUACACCCCAUGGCCAUUAAAAGUUAUUCAAAUCAUGACGCUGCACCCCACGGUUUAGGUUCUAGGGGGCGCCAAAGACAACCCUAAAAUCCACAUAUUUAAAAGUCUUAUAACUUUUUAUUUUUGUCCUCACUGGCCUCCAAGUUUUCUAGGAUGAUGCAAUGUCCAGCCAUCAACACAUUUGUGAUGCCAUCAACACAUUGUGAUCAACACGUUUGAUUCACGCCUAUACGCUUUGUCAUAUUGACACAAAAUUUGACAAUCACGUGCCUUGCCUGGUAUCAUUUUUUUUCAGCACAACCUCACCUGUGCGAAUUUACAGUUAUUUUAUCAUGUUGACAUACUGAAUUUACACAAUGGACCCAAAUUCACACACAAAACAUAAAAUCCGAGUGGAAAAAAGUAACAUUUUUACUGUGAAAACCACAAAUAUGUGUGAUGAACUGUUUUUAAAACUUAAACUUCAAAUAAAAAUUGUAAACUUCAAAACAUAUGCAAAUUUUUAACAAAGAACAUAGUAAUUUACCUCUAUUUACAUCAAAAUGCAGGCAAUGGCCCAGGUGUUCUUUGUAAAAUUAUUUACAAAACACUGUAUAGUCUCACAAAUGUCACUUUUUAUUUAUGCCACUACAAAAAAACAUGAUGUAAAUGAUGCAUGAUGUAAAACAUGAUGUAAAAAACUUGUGUAGAUCCUCCUCUAUGUCAGUCCAUGUGUAAUUUUUCCAUAAUUCUUUGUUUUUUGCAGCAUUUUUGUUAGUGUAACUGCAGAUUGUGCUGACAGUGUCUAUGGCACAAAAAAAAAAAAAAAUUUAAAAUGCAUCAACAUGAACCCCUGGUGGUCUCUGAGGGUGAAACCUGCUAACUGCUGCAGCUCUGUCAGCUUCAGUCUCCCAUGCAGAGCUCUGAGCGCAUGUGUGGCUCUGCACCCUUAGCAGCGUUGCUAACUCCUCAGUAAGGAAAGCCUGCUUCAUGUCAGAGUCUCUAAACUCCAGAAGAAGUCGAUAAAAGUCCCUUUCUUUCUAAAAAAAAGUCGUUAGGGGGUCUGAAAAGUCAUUGAAUCUAACAACAAAGUCGCUAGGUUUGCAACUACGUAUCCCAGACUGCAUCCCUGCUGAGAGUCCCUCCCUCCCUUCUCAUGUUGCAGGAAGAACGUAAGCGCCCGCCCCUUGUCAAUCAGUCACCAUAUAAUUUUGGAUUGGUUGUUGUGGUGAAGUUUUCCACCAAUAGAAGAGAUGUUGUGGUGUGUUUUUUUUUUCUUUUGGCAAGCCUUUUCCGCCUGUAAGACCUGUCGCUAAUGUCUGCAUGCUAUGUUUUCCUGUCUCAUACAGCGCGAUCGAGCGCCGAACGUGAUGCAGCUACAUCCGGUUAAAUAUGUCAUGUGACUUGAACGCACACACAGACACACACACGCACACACACACACACACACACACACACUCAGAGUCUGGUUUUUAGCACCUGCAAAAACAUGCUAUUUACAUAUUUGACAAGAAUGCAGAGGCUCCUUUUGCCCCUGAAAAAAAUCAAAUUUCAAACACAACUUGACUGGUCAUUUCUCCAAAAGACAACCAUGAAGCUCCAUCCAAACCUGAAGCAGGCAGUUGGUGCAUGUGUACAGUAACCUGAGGGGAGUGAGGUGACUGCUUCUGAGGAGAACAUGAGCAGUGAAGAUUCACCUUGGAGCUAGAACAGAGACAUGCACAUGAUUAUACAGGGGCAGGGGCUCAAGUUUUUUCCAGUCGUUUAUACAAUAUGGAAAUUAAUGUGAAAUUAAAACACAAAGUAUUAAUAGAAAGGUAAUGACUGUCCUGUGUAGGUGACAGUGAUAUCCAAUAGGCUAGGCACUCACGAGGCUGGCUGUGGCAAGUGUAAGUGAAAGCAACACGCACUGGCAGGAAGAACAGCAAACGCCGAUGAAGGAAAAGGGUCUUUGCAGUGAUGGGCGUUACCAGAGAGGGCGAUGGCCAGAGGACACAAAUGGGACGGGGAGGCAGCACGUUGGGGGGGGACGCGACACGGCUCGGGCCCGCCAGUGCCCCAACGGGGUCCUAGUUAUUAUUUUUCCUCCCCUUUAAACUGGAAAAUGGCCCACUUCCCACUGGCGAAAACUCAUGAAAUUUGGCAGGACGACCGGGCCUGGUGAAAAAUUUGAUAUUCUGAAGUCGCCCAAACAAUAAAAUGCAAAAUGGCUCCAUAGCGCCCCCUAAGGUGGAAAUUCACAGUAUUGACUGUCACGCCUGUACGCUUUGUCAAAAUGACACAAAAUUUGACACACAUAUGUAUCUCAAUAAGAUCUACAAAAAAGUCAGCGCGGGCGUAUCUGUCAAAUGUACGGUUAAAGGGCUAUUUCGCAUUUUUUGGCGAUCCGUACACAUUGGAAUUUCGCUAACUCCUCCGAAGGCUUUUGUUCCACCGGCACCACAUUUGCUCAGGCCAAUCUGCACCCCAUGGCCAUUAAAAGUUAUUCAAAUCAUGACGCUGCACCCCACGGUUUAGGUUCUAGGGGGCGCCAAAGAUAACCCUAAAAUCCACAUAUUUAAAAGUCUUAUAACUUUUUAUUUUUGUCCUCACUGGCCUCCAAGUUUUCUAGGAUGAUGCAAUGUCCAGCCAUCAACACAUUUGUGAAGGAAUUUUUACUCCCCAAAAGAGCGCCCCCCCAUGGCAGGAGAAAAAAGUCCAUUUUUUCUUGUCCCCUAAGGUGAAAAUACACAUUGUUGAGUGUCACGCCUCUACACUUUGUCAAAAUGACACAAAAUUUGGCACACAGGUGUGUCUCAAUAAGAUCUACGAAAAAGUCAAUGCGGGCGUAUCUGUCAAAUGUACGGUUAAAGGGCUAUUUCGCAUUUUUUGGCGAUCCGUACACAUUGGAAUUUCGCUAACUCCUCCGAAGGCUUUUGUUCCACCGGCACCACAUUUGCUCAGGCCAAUCUACACCCCAUGGCCAUUAAAAGUUAUUCAAAUCAUGACGCUGCACCCCACGGUUUAGGUUCUAGGGGGCGCCAAAGAUAACCCUAAAAUCCACAUAUUUAAAAGUCUUAUAACUUUUUAUUUUUGUCCUCACUGGCCUCCAAGUUUUCUAGGAUGAUGCAAUGUCCAGCCAUCAACACAUUUGUGAAGGAAUUUUUACUCCCCAAAAGAGCGCCCCCCCAUGGCAGGAGAAAAAAGUCCAUUUUUUCUUGUCCCCUAAGGUGAAAAUACACAUUGUUGAGUGUCACGCCUCUACACUUUGUCAAAAUGACAAAAAAUUUGGCACACAGGUGUAUCUCAAUAAUAUCUACGAAAAAGUCAAUGCGGGCGUAUCUGUCAAAUGUACGGUUAAAGGGCUAUUUCGCAUUUUUUGGCGAUCCGUACACAUUGGAAUUUCGCUAACUCCUCCGAAGGCUUUUGUUCCACCGGCACCACAUUUGCUCAGGCCAAUCUGCACCCCAUGGCCAUUAAAAGUUAUUCAAAUCAUGACGCUGCCCACGGUUUAGGUUCUAGGGGGCGCCAAAGAUAACCCUAAAAUCCACAUAUUUAAAAGUCUUAUAACUUUUUAUUUUUGUCCUCACUGGCCUCCAAGUUUUCUAGGAUGAUGCAAUGUCCAGCCAUCAACACAUUUGUGAAGGAAUUUUUACUCCCUAAAAGAGCGCCCCCCCAUGGCAGGAGAAAAAGUCAAGUUUUUCCUGCCCAUCGCUCAACGGCUCAAACACAUCGCUCUCUCGGCAAAACCGAAAGGAGGAGAAACUUGCCAUUUGGAUAUAUCCUAGCUGUGUUUGUGCCCUCACUCAUGGUCCAGACUUUUUUCAAAUAGGACAUGUAGUUUGUCUGCAGCGAGCGUUUUGGUAGAAACUGCGCCUCCCAUUCAUUAUAAUGGUAAAUGACCACAGACAAGUGCGCACACCAUCUUUGGACCUUGAGUGUGACGCGAUCGGGAGGGAGAGGCGGUCGUGUUGGGGGCGGCGCGACACAGCUCGGGCCCGCCAGUGCCCCACUGGGGCCCUAGUUAGGGCCCGAGCGUAGCUGCUAAGCAGCUGCGAGAGCCCUAUUAUUCCCCAAGUGGUUUUUCUUUGUUUCUUUCUUUCUUUCUUUCUUUCUUUCUUCUUUUUCCUCCCCUUUGAACUGGAAAAUGGCCCACUUCCCACUGGCGAAAACUCAUGAAAUUUGGCAGGACGACCGGGCCAGGUGAAAAAUUCGAUAUUCUGAAGUCGCCCAAACAAGAAAAUGCAAAAUGGCUCCAUAGCGCCCCCUAAGGUGGAAAUUCACACUAUUGACUGUCACGCCUGUACGCUUUGUCAUAUUGACACAAAAAUUGACACACAUAUGUAUCUCAAUAAGAUCUACAAAAAAGUCAGUGCGGCCGUAUCUGUCAAAAUUACGGUUAAAGGGUUAUUUCGCAUUUUUUGCCGAUCCGCACACAUUGGAAUUUCGCUAACUCCUCCGAAGGCUUUCGUUCCACCGGCACCACAUUUGCUCAGGCCAAUCUACACCCCGUGGCCAUUAAAAGUUAUCAAAAUCAUGACGCUGCACCCCAAGGUUUAGGUUCUAGGGGGCGCCAAAGAUAACACUAAAAUCCACAUAUUUAAAAGUCUUAUAACUUUUUAUUUUUGUCCUCACUGGCCUCCAAGUUUUCUAGGAUGAUGCAAUGUCCAGCCAUCAACACAUUUGUGAAGGAAUUUUUACUCCCCAAAAGAGCGCCCCCCCAUGGCAGGAGAAAAAAGUCCAUUUUUUCUUGUCCCCUAAGGUGAAAAUACACAUUGUUGAGUGUCACGCCUAUACGCUUUGUCAAAAUGACACAAAAAUUGACACACACAUGUAACUCAAUAAGUUCUACGAAAAAGUCAGUGCGCGCGUAUCUGUCAAAUGUACGGUUAAAGGGUUAUUCCGCAUUUUUUGCCGAUCCGCACACAUUGGAAUGUGGCUAACUCCUCCUAAGGCUUUCGUUCCACCGGCACCACAUUUGCUCAGGCCAAUCUACACCCCAUGGCCAUUAAAAGUUAUUCAAAUCAUGACGCUGCACCCCACGGUUUAGGUUCUAGGGGGCGCCAAAGAUAACCCUAAAAUCCACAUAUUUAAAAGUCUUAUAACUUUUUAUUUUUGUCCUCACUGGCCUCCAAGUUUUCUAGGAUGAUGCAAUGUCCAGCCAUCAACACAUUUGUGAAGGAAUUUUUACUCCCCAAAAGAGCGCCCCCCCAUGGCAGGAGAAAAAAGUCAAUUUUUUCUUGUCCCGUAAGGUGAAAAUACAUAUUGUUGAGAUUCACGCCUAUACGCUUUGUCAUAUUGACACAAAAUUUGACAAUCACGUGCCUUGCCUGGUAUCAUUUUUUUCAGCACAACCUCACCUGUGCGAAUUUACAGUUAUUUUAUCAUGUUGACAUACUGAAUUUACACAAUGGACCCAAAUUCACACACAAAACAUAAAAUCCGAGUGUAAAAAAGUAACAUUUGUACUGUGAAAACCACUAAUAUGUGUGAUGAACUGUUUUUAAAACUUAAACUUCCAAUUAAAAUUGUAAACUUCAAAACAUAUGCAAAUUUUUAACAAAGAACAUAGUGAUUUACCUCUAUUUACAUCAAAAUGCAGGCAAUGGCCCAGGCGUUCUUUGUAAAAUUAUUUACAAAACACUGUAUAGUCUCACAAAUGUCACUUUUUAUUUAUGCCACUACAAAAAAACAUGAUGUAAAUGAUGCAUGAUGUAAAACAUGAUGUAAAAAACUUGUGUAGAUCCUCCUCUAUGUCAGUCCAUGUGUAAUUUUUCCAUAAUUCUUUGUUUUUUGCAGCAUUUUUGUUAGUGUAACUGCAGAUUGUGCUGACAGUGUCUAUGGCACAAAAAAAAAAAAAUUAAAAUGCCUCAACAUGAACCCCUGGUGGUCUCUGAGGGUGAAACCUGCUAACUGCUGCAGCUCUGUCAGCUUCAGUCUCCCAUGCAGAGCUCUGAGCGCAUGUGUGGCUCUGCACCCUUAGCAGCGUUGCUAACUCCUCAGUAAGGAAAGCCUGCUUCAUGUCAGAGUCUCUAAACUCCAGAAGAAGUCGAUAAAAGUCCCUUUCUUUCUAAAAAAAGUCGUUAGGGGGUCUGAAAAGUCAUUGAAUCUAACAACAAAGUCGCUAGGUUUGCAACUACGUGUCCCGGACUGCAUCCCUGCUGAGAGUCCCUCCCUCCCUUCUCAUGUUGCAGGAAGAACGUAAGCGCCCGCCCCUUGUCAAUCAGUCACCAUAUAAUUUUGGAUUGGUUGUUGUGGUGAAGUUUUCCACCAAUAGGAGAGAUGUUGUGGUGUGUUUUUUUUUCUUUUGGCAAGCCUUUUCCGCCUGUAAGACCUGUCGCUAAUGUCUGCAUGCUAUGUUUUCCUGUCUCAUACAGCACGAUCGAGCGCCGAACGUGAUCAAAAUAAGCAGAAAAAAAGUAUCGCGGACAUAAUUUAUCAUAACUCUGGUUUUAUUUGGCCUAUCAACACAAUUUAAAAACUGGUAUAUAGGUUGAGGUCCUCACUUUUGAGAUAAGUAGAAACGGAGAGUCAACGAGGCUCCGUCUUGCAGCUACAUCCGGUUAAAUAUGUCAUGUGACUUGAACGCACACACAGACACACACACACGCACACACACACACACACACACACACACACACUCAGAGUCUGGUUUUUAGCACCUGCAAAAACAUGCUAUUUACAUAUUUGACAAGAAUGCAGAGGCUCCUUUUGCCCCUGAAAAAAAUCAAAUUUCAAACACAACUUGACUGGUCAUUUCUCCAAAAGACAACCAUGAAGCUCCAUCCAAACCUGAAGCAGGCAGUUGGUGCAUGUGUACAGUAACCUGAGGGGAGUGAGGUGAGUGCUUCUGAGGAGAACAUGAGCAGUGAAGAUUCACCUUGGAGCUAGAACAGAGACAUGCACAUGAUUAUACAGGGGCAGGGGCUCAAGUUUUUUCCAGUCGUUUAUACAAUAUGGAAAUUAAUGUGAAAUUAAAACACAAAGUAUUAAUAGAAAGGUAAUGACUGUCCUGUGUAGGUGACAGUGAUAUCCAAUAGGCUAGGCACUCACGAGGCUGGCUGUGGCAAGUGUAAGUGAAAGCAACACGCACUGGCAGGAAGAACAGCAAACGCCGAUGAAGGAAAAGGGUCUUUGCAGUGAUGGGCGUUACCAGAGAGGGCGAUGGCCAGAGGACACAAAUGGGACGGGGAGGCAGCACGUUGGGGGGGGGGGGGGGACGCGACACAGCUCGGGCCCGCCAGUGCCCCAACGGGGUCCUAGUUUUUCUUUUUCCUCCCCUUUGAACUGGAAAAUGGCCCACUUCCCACUGGCGAAAACUCAUGAAAUUUGGCAGGACGACCGGGCCUGGUGAAAAAUUUGAUAUUCCGAAGUCGCCCAAACAAUAAAAUGCAAAAUGGCUCCAUAGCGCCCCCUAAGGUGAAAAUUCACAUGACGGCUGUACGCUUUGUCAUAUUGACACAAAAAUUGACACACACAUGUAUCUCAAUAAGAUCUACAAAAAAGUCAGUGCGGGCGUAUCUGUCAAAUGUACGGUUAAUGGGUUAUUUUGCAUUUUUUGCAGAUCUGCACACAUUGGAAUUUCGCUAACUCCUCCGAAGGCUUUCGUUCCACCGGCACCACAUUUGCUCAGGCCAAUCUACACCCCAUGGCCAUUAAAAGUUAUUCAAAUCAUGACGCUGCACCCCACGGUUUAGGUUCUAGGGGGCGCCAAAAAUAACCCUAAAAUCCACAUAUUUAAAAGUCUUAUAACUUUUUAUUUUUGUCCUCACUGGCCUCCAAGUUUUCUAGGAUGAUGCAAUGUCCAGCCAUCAACACAUCUGUGAAGGAAUUUUUACUCCCCAAAAGAGCGCCCCCCCAUGG